rnacentral:lncRNA from 1 species
UAAUAAAAUGUAAAUAAUUUAGUUCAACUUUAUUUGAACAUGUUUAUGGUAAGAUAGUAAAUUAUAACUUUUUUUGGCAUUGAAUAGUAAAUUUUAUUUAUUUAGACUUUGAAUAUUUUUUAAUUUAAAUUAAUAUCUUUGGAAAGAAAUUUUGUUUUUUGGUUUGAUUCGGUGAGAAAUGGACAAGUGGUAUCUAUUGACCCCAUUUUGGUGUAAAUAUGACUAUCUUUUUGUAGAAUUGUAAUCUGAUGUGACGCGCUACAUGAUGAGAGUAAUGUGCACGCGCCACCGUCAAAGUUAAAAACUGGCAACGUUGGUUGGUGUGUGGACCUGUUGACUUCAGAUUUUCAUAGUCAACAAAUUAUUAGUCAACGCAUUUACCUUCUCAAAAAAGAGUAUCUAACCAUAGAUAUGAGAUUAUUAGUCAACACAUUGAUUAUACAAAAUCUAGUUUUUGACUACAAAAUCUUGGUGAAGGUACUACUGCAGAUACCAUUCAAAAACUUCCCAUAAAAUUCGAUUAUUUGAAAAAUAAAGAUAUGAGUCAUCUGUUUGGGCUUUAGCUUAUUGAACUGGGCUUAUGAGGUUUUCUUUCUUUAAGGUAUCAACAAUUUAUUAUGCCAAUGAAAAAACAACAAUCUUUGGUAAGCUAACACGUUCCAAACAUAAAUCCAUUUAUCCAUCCCAAUAGGUAUACUAUUCAAAACAUCAAGAGUAAUUAUUAAGAAACUAGAGAAGUUUUGAUGCACAGAACAAAGCCAAACAUCAAUAUUUUUCCUUUUCCUUGUAAUGAUAAUCUAGAGAAGUUAUUGCGCUUGAAGUACAACCAAUCAUUUUUAACCAAGAACCACAAGACGAUAAUGACUACUAAACUACCAUUACAUGGUUCAAACAUCAAAGUUUAACAGCUAGACAUUUCAUAAUGCGAGAUUUUCCAUUAAGCACAAGAUCAUAGCACUCGACCUUUCCCCACAUCUUUCCUCCUUCGCAAUCUCUGCAUACCAAAUUUCUGUUGUCUUACUCAAUAAGUCUACUUUAUGAAAAAACACAGCCAAUUUUUUACCAUAACUCGUUGUGUAUGACCAUGAACCGUCAUGACAUAGUCCUAACACACCGCUCACCCCUUCCCAAACCCUCUCCUUUGGAUCAUACGCUCUUAAAAAAUUACUACGAUCAUCAUAAUAGUACAACACAUCGUCUAUAACACAUGAAUUAGACCAGUUCCUAUAGUGCAAGAUCGGGUCAGUCUCACAUAUACCUUCCUUUGGUUCAUACACAUAGCUGAUCCGAGAACUCUUCAUGUAAAUCUUACCCGCUAUCUCCACGCUACUAAACCACCUCCGGCCCACCUCCCAAUUUGGCCUUUUCCUAACCUCCCAUGUUUGUGCUACGGUAUCAAACACCAUGAUCCUUUUAGACGUUGACUUUAACUGCCGGGAACGAGUAGCGGACCCUCCAAGGCUCCAAUCACAUAUACCUUCCCAUCUACGAGUGCGGAGACCGAGGCAGCGACAGCCUUUGGCAUUCUAGUAAGAGGCUCCGCCAUGUGAGAUACACAAUCGAGGCGUGACACAUUCGGUGUGAUCAACCCCCGCUGCCACUGGUGAAAUCCACCCAUGACAUAUAUACUCGAACCUUUGACCACAUAGCUUCCAUGUAAAGGCAUAGGAGGGAGUGAAGGGAUACGGACUAACCAAAGCUUGUCGUUGGGUUUCCGAGCAAGAGUAUACCAAUGGAUAUUAGAGGUUUCGAUGUUCUCAGAGAUGGCAACAUAGAGACAGUGUUCUUCGUAACCUAGAAAACAUCGUCUCCUGUAUAGCUCAGGGGAUGUAACGAGAGACCGAAACUGCUUUGAAACGAGUGAGAGAAUUGGAUAGUAAGAUCUUGGUAGACGUGCUACGCAAUCCAAGAGGAUUUCAUCGGGAAGUGAGGUCAUCAGUAUUGGCGGCUCUUGUAGAUGAUCAUCAUUUGUCGCAAGUUUGGAUGACAUCUUUUUAACAAAUAAAAAAAAACUUUUGAUGACAUCUCUCAUAUUUUAGACUCAAAUCACAUAUAGUUUUGCAAUGGUAAAAUAUUGGCAAGGAUUUUAAAGGAAACUAUAUAUAUAUAUAUAUAUACGGAAGGAUUGGCUAAGAGAUCUGAUAGAAUUGAAUAUAAAUAUAUAGGAAAAAUUAAAGGAAUCCAAUGAGAUCUUAUGACAGAAUGAAGUUAUGGGUAAGUAAUCUAUUAUCGGGUGAUUAUGAAAGAUUAUAAAGUGUAAUUAAGUUAUACCAACCCAUCUAUUUAUCAUGUUUUUGCCAAAAGAUAUAUGUGUUGUCAAAAAUAUAUAUUUAAGUUUGACAAAGUCAAUAAACUUUAUAUAUUUUCCCAAGUUGCCUAAUUAAUUUAUAUAUAUAUAUAUAUAUAUAUAUAUAUAUAUAUAUAUAUAUAUAUAUAUAUAUAUAUAUCAUAAUGAGAUCCUUUUUUUUUGUGUCUCUAAUGUCAUAUGAGACCUACAUUUUAAAUUAUUAAAAAUAAUAUGAGGUAUACUUUUACUAAAUUUAACUAAUCUCACAAAAAGAUUUUUCUUUAACUCACUAUAUAAUAAUGACAAAAUUACAAAGAUGACGGUUCGUAAGUCGAAAUCAUAGAUAACUUUUUAUAGAUGGUAAUUUUCUUUAAUCAGAGGUUUCGUACAAAAGAAACAAAUGUACAACAUUAUGAAAGAAAAUUAUCUAUGAUUUCUCAAUUCUUGUCAAUAUUUUCGUGAACUAAGAAAAUAUAUCAAUUUAAGGAGAAGAAGGCGAAAUAUAUUUGAAAAUAAUUGUUCUGACAUGAUGGUGAUGGAGAUAAAUUUUAUCAUUUCGAUUUUUAACGAAUUAAUAGGCUAAAAUAUCAACGGUUCUGUUCAUUUCGUUUGGUAGAUUAUUUUGUCAUUAACAUCCACAAAACAUAUUCAAACUCUUUUUUUGUUAUAUAGCAAAUUCUUCUUUUUUAUAUUUGUUUUUGGGGUCAGGAUUCAGGAAGAUAUAUAAGGAUUAAAAAAGAAAAACCUGAUAUGUAAACGUCACCGUUUUUUAUUUAAGAAGCAAAUUUGAAAGACACUAACACAAAAGCCCUUACAAAGAACCCAAGCUGAUACAUCCAACACAAACAUUAAUUAAUGAAAGUAUAAGUAGCUAUUUAAACCAUCUCAUUUGGGGCAGGUAGGUUCGAAUGCGAAUGGACCAACGUUGUAAACACCGUACUUGAACUUUUUGAUGAUGACUGAGGAAAAUCCUGGUUUCAAGACCGGCUUUAGAACGGAGCCCUUGUAUCCACCAUUGAACGUUGACACUUUGCUGCAUUUGGCGUCCGGCGACUUCACGAGGAAAGCUCGGCAAUUUUUGAUAUCGUAGUUGGUCACCGUCUUAGGGGCCAAGAGCAUGAAGUAUCCCUUCGUGUCCGUCUUUGUCUCCGAUACUGGGUUCUUGUUGUUCUUGCACACAAGUCUCACCACCGCAUCUGUAUCCCCAGAUAACACAAAAAAAAAUGUGAGAAGUAGUACUUGGAUAGAUUUGUUAUAUACUAUAAUAGAAGUUAUUUUUUUUUAAACGAAAGAGCUCGUACGUGUUAACCACAACCCUAUUAAUACAUAUAAACAGGAUAUCAUGAAGUAUGCAUGGGAAGUGAAGUGUGAACUUUUCACAUACCACACGUGUGAAUAUUAAGGAUAAUUUUCAUAUCAUAAGUGUAUAUAUAGUUAGUACCUUUAACGGGUUUGAUGUUGUUGACGCCCGCAUACUUGCAGGCUUUGCAGUAGACCACACCUCGAACGGCCACUAGGGUCUUGUUGUACUUAGGAGGGUAAACUGGUGGGAGAACUGGAGGUUUGAUCGGUGGGAGAGUUGGUAAUUUAAUCGGAGCUUUGGCUGGUGGGAGAGUUGGUAGUUUGAUCGGAGCUUUGGCUGGUGGGUAGACUGGUAGUUUGAUGGGAGCUUUGGCCGGUGGGAGUGUUGGUAGUUUGAUGGGAGCUUUGGCCGGUGGGAGUUUUGGUAAUGUGACCGGAGGUAUGGGAAGGUGAUGGGGAUGGCUAUUGAAGGGAUCUGAUGAACCAGGUUGAUUCACUCCUAAGGUGAAAACAGAGGAAGUGAAGCAUAAAAGUGCUAAGAGAGUUAGAGAAACACACUUACCAAUGAUUCCCAUCUUUAUUCUUUUGUUUUUGCUUCUGUUUAUGUGUGUGAGUUUGGGUUGAUGUAACUUGGGUGUAUUUAUAGGAGAUUCCGGGCUACAAUUUUGUAUCAUUCAUAUAGAUAACAGAGGCAUACAUAGCACAUGUACACAACUGGCGAGAAGUUUCCGAUGUCUCGUUAAAGAUUUAGAUUUAGAUCUCUUAAUUAACAGGUUUUAAUAAUUUAAGCAAGAAACUCGAUAUUAAUUUGUAAUACAGUCACUUCCCGGUUUUUAUCUUCUAAGAGUAAAUAAAAAUUUUGUCAACUUAGCUGAAGUAGUAUUAGUGCAUGAGUUUUCGUUCAUGUUCCAUGUUUCGUGGUCCUUAACAUGGACUUGGCAACAAGAUGCGCCUGGUGCGGCUUCAACACAUUACACAUUUAAAGUUCAAUUAAUUUAUACACUUCUAAUUCUAUUUAUUUGGUUUUCCAAUCUGAUGAAAUUAGCAAAAUGAUGCCUAAAAAAUUAUUCUUGGAUCAGGAUAAGAUAAUAUAUAUAAUUAGUCAAUUAGAUUUUAAUGAAACUGGCAAAACGAUGCCCGUGUUAUUAAUUAUUCUUAAAUCAGAAAAUUAUUUAUUAAAUUUUUUUGUAUGUUAAUAUUGCAAAAUCUUUUGCUCUAGUGUUUCACAAAAGAUUUAUAUAUACUUUCACGUACGCAUGCAUGAGAUUCAAUUCCUAAACUAUACAAUGCCUUGCAGGUUAUAAGUGCAAUUUUUUGGAGGUUCUCAAUCUAUGUGAGAUUAAAUACUUAUAAAUUUCCAAACUUGGCAAAUGUAUGGUAGCGUCAUAUGUAUAAUAAUUAAUAUUUAGAGUGUUGAUUUUAUACAUGGUCGGCCAAAUAGAUUUAGCUGCCCAAAACAUUCUUAAGCCCACACAAUUAAUAAAGUCACAAAAAAACAGUUUUGGGACAAGGACAAAAACCUAGGAGCUAACCACUGUACUACAUAAUAUUUUGUGAAAGUGAUGCCCUUUACUGCUAUAUAUAAAUUUUGGCGCCUAAAGCAAGGGCUUUACCAGCUUUAGCUCAGGGCCGGCCGGACUGUUUCUAAUAGGAUUUGGAUUUGAGUUUUCAUAUAAAUAGAGCUACCAAGGUUGUGGUAAGCUUAUGAGUUUUGAGAGAGAAGUUUGAGAGAUUGUGUUUAAGAGAUUGAGAGAGAUCCAAAGUUUUGAGUUAGUUUCUUUUGCUAUCAAUAAAGAGAGUUCCGAUAAUCAAAGCUCAAUCAAUGGAAGAGAGCUGUGCGAUUGGAGGAUUGGAAUUGACGCCGAGGAAGAAGAAGGUGUGUGGGAUAUGGUCGUUGCCAGAUUCGGUGGCUUUGAUCUGCCUGGCUCAAUUGUCGAGAUUGGAUCUCGCUGCCUUUGCUAUCGCUUCCAAGGAACAGCGGUCUCUCGUAGGGUCCCUUGAGCUCUGGGACUUGAGAUAUGAGAUGGGUUGCUCCGAGCUAAGUCUCUACGUAUUAUUGCACAUAUUUCCAGAACCAAACCCACGUUGGUUCAUAUUCCACCCUGUGCAACGUCGGCUGAAACCGAUCCAUUCGAACCUGAAUCCGAAUCCGGUUCCGGAAGCAGAAUCAGCUUUCGUGUUUGCGGAUUGGGGAAUCUUUGAUAUCGGUGGAGUCAUAAAGGGCGAGCGCACUUGCCAUGUCUCUUUUUUCGAUUGUUUCGGGCACAUAUGGCCCCGUCUCCCGUCCAUGAAGAUAGCUCGAAGCAGAGCAUCGGCGAGCCUAAUAGACGACAAGAUAUAUGUGUUUGGAGGCUGCACUGAUUAUGGUGAUUCCUCAAACUGGGCAGAGGUAUUCGAUCUCAGGACCCUAACUUGGGAUUUCUUGUAUGUGUCUACCCCUCCCCAACAUAUCCGACAAAGUGUGUUGAUGAGAGACAAGGAGGAGGUUUACGUGGUGGAUGAGGAUGGUCAAACCAUGUCCUUUUCACCAAGUAAAUCUCUAUUUGUGGCCAACGGAAAUGCUGAGAAAACCCAAGAAGAACACCUAACUGAUUGGUGUUUAUUUGGGAAACACUUAUUCUGCGCUGGUAAAGGCCGGAGGAUACUGUGGUGUUUCCCAUAUGAGUUGGAUUGGAAGGAAGUCAAGGGUUUGGAAAAUCUUCAAUCUCUCUGUGGUAAUAAUGAAAUCAUCAACCUCUGCCCCAUGACUCAUAAGACGAUUGCCAUCUUCUGGAUAGUGCGGCCUCAUGAUGAUGAUCCUUUCAUUUUGGAGCUUUGGUCUGCCGAGAUUUCUUUCUCGAACAGCAAGCGACGCGGGACUAAGGCGGGGAAGAUUCACUGGUCCGGUGCUGUUCUCUCAGGCUCAUAUGUUGGCUUUAACUUCUUAUAUGCUCAUCCUGUCAUUGCCUGAAUAUUCUCACUCCUUGUUUCAACUAUUUUAUAUAACUUGUUUUAUAGCUACUUUUUAUACUAUUAAAUUUGCAAUUCAGUCAGAAAGCUUUAAUAUUCUAAGUGUUGGUUUCUUUUUUUUUGGUUUUCUGAGUAGUUUAGAAUCUUUAGAUUGUGCUGAUUUUCAUUCUUUACACUGUUACUUAUUGUUUGAACGGGUGAUCUUUGUUUUUGGCAAGUUUUAUUACCUGCUACCUUUUGAAACUUGUAAAUUAAACACAUGCAAAACGUACCACAAGUAUGAAUUGAAACUUGUAAAUUAAACACAAAACCUUUACAGAAUAUCAAGAGGACAUCAAGCAUCGAUCUGCAUAUAUAGUUAACUAUUUUAUAUCACAUAUAUAAGUUGUUUUAUAGCUACUUUUGUGUGAUUUGCAUAAAGUAUAUAGAUCAAGGGGUGAAACCAUUUAGUUUUAUAUUAUAAAACUUACAGUAUAUCGCUGCGGAAAACCACUCGUUCACUAUCUUCACCCAUGUGCUUGACCACCCAAUAUCAAUGCUCCAUCUGUGCAUGUUACAUAAAUAAAUACAAUUUCAUUGUCAUGAUCUGAAUUUUUUUUGUUUCAGAUGGGAAUUUUCUUACUCUCGUGCUGAAUGUGAAAGGUUCCAGCUGAUAAACACAACAUAGCAAAGUACAUCGCUCCUAAGGAGAAAACAAGGUGGAAGAAUCCAUAGCUGUAUGGUAUAUCGUCUUCUUCUUUAGCUUCAUCUUUACGGAACUCGAACUGUAAUAAAGAUCUAAUGUCUGUGACAGAAAAAAAUAUUGAUUUUUAAGCUGAGACUGAAUGUGAAUUUACCUUGAAGGAUUCUGAAUCGAUCCCAGUUGAGAAUGUUGCCAUCACUAUGGCGCCUAUAGCUAUAAGGAAACUCUGAACAAAGACGAAGACAAAAAAAGAAGUGGGGUUGAGUUAAGUAAGCAAGAACUCAAGGAGAGGCUUUGAGCUCUUACCAAGUUACCAGUAUUUUAAUCCAAUCGGUAGACCGUUUUGAGUAUGCGCAUUGCAUUUUGUAUGUGAAGGUUCGCUGAUAAGAAACUUGUACUUUAAUAAUGCUUUGAAGAACUAACCAAACAAAAGCCAGAUUUUGGUUUUUUCCUAUACCUUCUGAUCGCAGACCAACAGAGAAAGACAAUGUAGGAAGCCAUAAUCCCGGAAGACAAAAGUCCUCUAUACUUCACCUUUCAUGCAAAGCAUCAGAAUUCGAAGCAGAGAUCAAUCAUUGUGUUAUCAUCAAGCAAAUUCCAGGAAAUUUACCUUUGAAUGCAAGGACAUAACCAUCAUAACGAUUAGAAGAACAACAGUCCAUGAGAUGAAGAACAUAUUGAGGACACAAGCAGUGGAAGCUGCAUAAAAGUAGUACAUCACUGCGAUCCCACAAACAGAACCGAUGUAGAAAACUGUUGACAUAACCAAACCAAAGGAGCAGCUGCAGAAAACACAGUAGUAAGUAGUAACCAACAGUUGAUAUAUCCACAUAGACACAACAUUUUUGUAAUGAUUGAUACUUGCUUACCUUUGCUUACUUUGGUCAUGAGGCAUCCAAUAGUUAUUCCACCAAGUGAUGAAUUCGAUAACGCUGACAAGUUGAAGACCAAGAAAUAUCCUGCAACCAUAGAAAAUUAAAAAUGGUAUGAGACUCAUGUGUUUCUCCAUCAUUUAUAAGAGAGUAAACUGAAAUAUGAUUUACGCUGCACCAACACGCACGAUUUCUCCUGUAAGGAAAACAACAUUGUCAUGAUCCAAACCAAUCAGAUCAAAUGGAGAAGAUGAUAGAGGCAUAGAGCUAUAGUGAGACAGAAACAUACCGUAAAUUUGGAUGUAAAGCUGAGGUAUGAAGAAAGAAGCUACCAUGGCUAAAACCAGCAGAAAAAACUUGAAGCUCCAAUAAUCCGAGUGCCAACUGUUUUGAGCUUCGUGGAGUUUCAUUGUGUUCCAUGUUGAGAGGAACAUAAUAAGGAAAAAUAUCUUCAUUGUUAAGGAUAAAUGAACUUACAUGACAUACCAAUUAUUUUAAAAUGUGAUUCUAUCAGCCUGAAAAUUCAUUUUUAGGAUACGAAACAUCCAAGACUCACACGGAGUACUCCAAGCGUAUGGAAACAAUAACUUCCUUCUGGUCCGCAACUACUGACAUCUGCAUUGAUGAUUUCAAUCUAAAAGUAUUCUUUGAAUUCAACAUUAGAGAGAUGUCAAAAGAUUAAUGACCUUACAUGGAAGCAAGGCCAGAGCCUUUUGUGCAUAGUCACGAAUGAACCAAGCGCAUAGGUUUAUAAUCAAGAAGAUGGUUCCAUAGACAUAUCGAGCUCUCAAGGACUUGUUUUUCUCUUGGUAGUAAUAGAGACUCCUCUGUUCUACUUCCCUUAUGAGUUCAUCAAGAUGAGCAGCCUCUAAAUCACCAGGACUGAUCUGCAAUGAUCUCACCGGUGGAGCAGUUUCUGCUGGUCCAUUCAUUGCCAAAAACCAAAAAGAAAGUGAAAUUGAAUGAAUAUAUGUACUUUUUUAAUUUAGAGAACAAGUGAUUCCUAUGAAUGCUGUUUAAAUCACACAAUUAAUAAUAGAUAAGGCAGCUGAAAGCAUGAAACUUUCAUGAAAUUUGUUCUCUCAUUUAGACAAUUUUCUCAUUUUUAUCUUUUUUUGAAAGUGUGGCCAAGAACAAAUUAAAAAAAGAGACAUUUUUAUUCAGAAAUAUAUGGCAAUGAUGUCUCGAUCACACAACACAAUUCCGACUAGCGAUUAGCAAAGUCUCUAGAAUCAAAAGGCAAGAACAAGAACAUAAAAUUUUACAUGUCAAAAAGAGAAACUCGAAAGCAGAGAAUCAGACCCAUUAUCAGUAAUUAAGAAAAAGAAAACUUAAAUUUCCAGUUAAAAAAAGCUGACCUUUUUUGUGGUUCUGGCUAAAAUUUCGUUUAUGUUAGACACAGAAGCUGGAGAAUGAGAAGAUGCGAAGGAAGAAGAAGAAGAAGCUUGAGAGUUGAAGCGUGAGUCGAGUGUUCUCACACGAGAAUCACGAAGAGAGUAAAGACGAAGCAGCGGUUCGAAAACUCGAUUUAAAAUAAAACACAUGCUUUGGUGUAUGAUUCUAUGCAACGGUUUCAUUUUAAUGACUUGUGCACUUCUGUUUCUAGCCGUACGAUUUGAAAUGACCGCUAUUUUUCUUUUGCUUUGACCUAUUUGUCUCCAAAAGAAGAAAUUUUGAAUGAAUAUUUAAUACAGAGACAAAUGUUGGAUUUCCGCUUGAGUGUUCAUUUUUAUGUUUAAUGAUUUUAAUCACAUCACAUGAAACUUGUUAAUUGCGAACUUUGAACAUUUUUUUUUUGGCAAAAGGUUAAUGAGAACUUUGAACAUUCUAAAUAGGGUUCCCUUGUAAAUAUAUUUAAAACUAAAAUAAGUAGAAAACAUUCUCCGGGCUCGAGGAAACGUUACAAUGGGCAGCCACGUGCCCACGUCGGGUUACUUGUGAAAUAAAUAAAUAAGAGCGUGGAACUUUCUUAAGAGUUAAUCCAUGAUUACUUGUAGUUUAACUAGAAGUGUUGGAAGUGUGUAAUCAACCGAGACAUCAAAUUUUCUUGCCUAAACAGAUAUAUAGUUUUCUCGUUAAGCUAAUUCAUCAUCAAGCUCCAAGUAUCUUUCCUAGUUUCUUUUACUUUACUACGUUAUUUUCCCAAAGGAAUUUGAACUAGAUGUCUAAGAAUAUUCUCAAAUUAUGUUUGUUUUUUUGUCAUCUAGUUCGGUGGAUGUAUACCAUGGGACAUGGAGCGUUUGACCAAUUGGCCAAAUUGAAUCAAUUCGCUUCAUCCUGUAUAUCCAAGCUGUAAUCAAUCUAAUACUAUAUAUAAAUUAAUCACAAUUAAAAAAAAAAAAAAUUAAUCACAAUUACAGUAUCCUUGAUUAUGGUUCACUGCUUUAAAUAGGACAAAUUAUGGUAUGGUACGGACAAAGACGUGAAAACAAAAAGAGUUUGGUUCAUAAUCAUGACUUUUUUUUUGGGGAGAGGAAUGUUUGAGGACCCACCAAGGGCUAUAAUCAUAAUCCUCUUUUUCAGUAGAUUUGCUUUCUAUAUCGUUUCUUUCCUUCUAUGACUAAUCCCUUGUGUACUUUGAAAAGACCUUUUCAAUUUUUUAUUUGAUAAUGGAGUCUGAAAAAUGUUAAUUGAACCACAUACAAACAUGUAAAUAUCGUGUUCAUAAGAUAUAAGGGUUUGGUGAUACUUGGCAAGAACUAUAGAUCUCCAUGCGCAACCUUUUUGAAGAUUCACUGAACUCUCUAAUCUGAAGAAUUUUGGAAGAAGUUAACUAAAAAGACUUGCAUGAACCAAAUAAAAUUAUUAUUUUUAUAAAUCGAUUGUGAAUUGGAUUUCACGGAAAAUCUGAAGGUCUCUCUCUUUUCCAAUCAUGAUUAAAGAAUCCAUUAGUGCCUUGUGGAUGAAGUAACCGUAAUCCCAAAGAAACCUAGUUAGGGUUUCUGGUUCUUCUCAGAAACCCAUUCAACCCAUUCCUCCCAUACCUCCCAUGCCACCCAUGCCACCGUCCAUACCUGGAGACGCUUCCUUCUCUUUCGUUGGAAUCUCAGUCACAACUGCUUCCGUUGUUGUCAACAAAGACGACACACUAACCAAUAGAAUAAACCAGGAAAAAAUAUUAGCAAAAACAUUGCAAUAAACUACAAAAUUUGACAUAAAUUUUUCAAAACUUUGUGUACCUUGCAGCAUCAACCAAUGCAGUUCUGAUCACUUUCAAAGGGUCAAUAAUACCAGACUUUACCAUAUCGACGUAUUCACCUGAAAGUAAACGUAAAAAAGAAGCUAGUUCAAUAUAUAGUGAAAGGAGCAGUUAGAACGCAAAUUUCUCUAAUGCAUAUAAGAGUGUAACCUUUAGCGGCAUCAUAACCAAGGUCAGGAUUAUCUUGCUCCAAAAGCUUGCCUACGAUAACUGCACCCUCUACUCCAGCAUUGGAAGCAAUCGUGUAAACAUGUGUCUGCAUCAACGAAAGAUUUUGUGUGUAAGAUUCUAGAAGCUGUUUAUGUUAGAGAGGAUGAACAAUGUGACGAGAAAAACCUUGAGGGCGUUUUGAAUUAUUUGAACACCGAUUUUCUGAUCAAAGUUAGCUGUGGAAAGCUUCUCAAGUUCUUUUGAAGCAUACAAAAGAGCAACACCACCACCUGUAAUACACAAAACCAAUGUAAUUCUCAUAAUUCCUUUCAAAAACUCAACCAAAGUUUGUUUUAGAGAUUUGAAUACCUGGAACAAUACCCUCUUCUACGACUGCUUUAGUGGGCAUUUAGAGCGUCAGUUACUCUAUCUUUCUUUUCGCUAACUUCUGUCUCACUCGCUCCUCCAAUCUAAAAACCCAUGUGAGUAAUCCCGACAUUAAUAGUAAACUAUUAAUGCAUUAAUAGCUUCAUAUUCUCAUGUUAACAAGGUGUACAAUACCUUUAGUACAUCAACACCACCCGAAAGCUUAGCCAAUCUUUCUUUCAACUUCUCCUUGUCAUAAUCAGACGUGCUCGCUUCCAUCAUGGAUCGUAUCUGUGUGAUUUAUUAAAAUUUAAAUUAACAUUCUUACCAGUUGGAAAAUAGGUAAAGGUAUAGCACUGAAUUCUCUUAACAUUCUUUACUGCUAUAUAUAAAUUUUGGCGCCUAAAGCAAGAGUUUUACCAGCUUUAGCUUAGGGUCGGCCCUGAUUUUAUAAAACUUGAUAAAACGUUAAAUGGUUUGGCGCCGGCGAUAUGUGUUUAGUUAAAAGUGUGUUUUGGCCUAAAUCUAUUUCAAAUUCACAACUAAUCCCAUAUUUUGCAGAUUUGGGUUGAGUUGAAAAGUUUUCAUACGCAUUUUAAUUUUUAAGCCAUGAGGUCAUGUUCUGACAAAAAAAAAAAAAAAAAAGAAAGAGGCCCAUGAUAUAUCAAGUCUCAUAUUUUUUAAGUGGGUAGUUAAGUGUUAAAAAUCGAUGUAAAUACAUAGAAGUAACAGUGAUUUUUGCUACCCAUAAUUUGAAGAAUUAGAUGCAUAAACCUAGGCCUGGGCAUUCGGUUAACCAUUCGGUUUCGGUUCGGUUACGUUUGGUUUCGGUUAGUUUGGAUAUGGUAAUAUAAUAACCAUUCGGAUAUUUUAAGAAUUUCGGUUCGGUUCGGUUCGGUUACCUUUCGGUUCGGUUCGGUUUGGAUAUUUAAAUAGAUAACCGUAACUAACCAAACUUUUAUCACGUUCGGUUUGGUUCGGGUUUUUACCCAAAUUAACCAAAAUUUACCGUAACUAACCGAAACUAACCAAAAUUUACCGUAACUAACCGAAACUAACCAAAAUUAACCACAAAAAAAUACAAAAAGAAAAUACAAAAAAAGAAAGUAUUAGAAAAAAAUAUUAAAAUUUGAUUCGAUUUUGUAAAAGAGUAUUUAACUUUGACAAAUAUAACAAACAAUAUUUGAAUAUUUUGAUUAUUUAAAGUAUUUGAUUAUUUUGAUUCUAAAAAUAAUUAAUAUUUUGAGUUUAUAAUUAUAGUUUUGGAUAUUAUUUUUGGGUAUCUUAUAGGUUUUUGGAUAUUUCGGUUAACCGUUUGGUUAUCGGUUCGGUUCGGUUCGGUUUCGGUUAGUUUGGAUAGGGGAUUUUACAAACCAUUCGGUUAUUUUAAAAACUUCGGUUCGGAUAUGGUUCGGUUUUUUUCGGUUCGGUUCGGUCGGUUAUUUGGUUAGCGGUUUUUUUGCCCAGGCCUACAUAAACCAAUAUUUUUUAUUUUAAUAAAAGUAAUUAACUAAUUAUCUUAGCCAUAAAUUUAAAGAAAAAAACAAAAAUGAAAAUGGUGAGAGAGUGAGAGUACGGUGAUCACUGAUCGCUACGACGGGAUCCACAAUACGUAAUGUGGGCUAUAUAUAUAAUAUAACUGUGAAGAGUGAAGGCAAUCUAACAAACGAAACAGAAUUUCAAAAUUCAAAUUCGAAUUUCACGAUAGAGAGAGAGCAGAUAAUCGCCAGAGCUAUUGAUUUCGCUUCAUCGUCUCUCACACUCUCUCAGUUUCGUCUACAAUGUCGUCUACCAGAAGAGGCACUAAGAGAACUCGGCCAGAGCCGCCGCAAUCGCUCAAGAAGCCAACACCGAAAGCGAAACUCCAGGACGAUUUGGAUGUCGAUGUUUCUAGGUCCUUUUUUGCUUCGUCUUCUUCUUCGUUUCUGGUUUUUGCUGAAUUGUGACUCGCGAUUGUGUUUCCGUGUUGAUCGUGCAGCGAUUUCAAAGGAAUCAUGUCGGCGUUGCAGCAAUUCAGAGAGAAGGCGCACGAAGAUGGCCGGAAGAAGAAGGAAGAGAGCAUUUCCAGGUAAUAUACCUCUCCCUUACAUGAUUUUCUCCGGUUAGGUUAUGUAACUUCGAUUUCAUCAUUCACUAUGCAAUUAUCGAGACAUUCAUGUCGAUUGAUCAUGUGCAUUUGUUGAUAGAGCGUUUCUUCUAAUAGUUAUCUUUGGUACAUGUAUUAUUCUGGAUCUUGUAUCGCAAAUCAAUUUAGCAAGUAGAUAUAGCUAGAUGAAGCUAAGGUGUUCGAUCAUUUGUUCUAACAUUUUGAUACUGGUUGAUCGGUUGUGAAAUUGAUUGUUGUAUGCUCAUGUAUCGCUUAAACUAGAAGCAAAUGUUUGAUUGAUAGAUAUCAAGCUCGUUUGUACGUGGAUUAGUCUGGAUCUUGUAUCGCAAACCAAAUUCAUCAACUAGUUUUAGGCAGAUAAAGUGUUCGAUCAUAUGCUCUAGCCUUUUUGAUAUUGGUUGAUAUGUUGUGCAAGUGGUUGUGGUAUGAUCUUCAAUUGCUUAAUCGAUAAAGCAAAUGUUUGAUUGAUCGAUAUGAAGCUCGUUUAAUUUCAUAGAUACAGAACUUUUAGAUGAUCAGUGGUUUGUUCCUCAGCUCUGAAGCACUCAGUUAUCUAAUGUGCAACUGGUUUUGAAAUUGCUCUUUGUAUCCUUUAGACUAGAAAGUAAAUGUUUGAUUGAUGGAUAUGAACUCGUUUGAUUACAUAGAUACAGAACGUUUAGAUGUUCAGACUUUUGAUACUCAACUCUGAAGCAAUCGGUUGAUUUGUAUCGUUAAUUUGGUAUCUACUAGCAUGGUUUUGUCAUUUAUUGUUCCAGAAAGAUAGAAUCAUAUAAGGAUUGUGAGAAUAUUCCUCCAUUUUAUCUGCAGAAUCAGUUUUCUCCACAAGAUAAUGAAAUAAACAACAUGGUUCUAAUGCUUUUUAUGUGUCGUUUGUUUGAUAGUUGAAUCUUGCUUUAAUCCUUGUGUAUCUUUCUGGCAGUGUCUCCACUGAGGUGAAGUCAAAGAUUGACGAGCUGAAGUCAAAACUUGAGAAAGAAAGGUAUGCUAUGUUGCUGAGGAUGGAUGUCUGAUCUUCCAUUCCAUGCUUUGUAUGUUGGUUUGCAAGAUAAGAUAUAAAUGAAAAUGUGCUAAUGAAUUUUGUCCUUGACUAACAACCUGCAGACAAAACUUUGCCAAAGCACUUUCAAAGAGUUCAAAGGAGGUCUGAACAAAAAUCCCAAGAUGAUGAUGAACUUAAUUGAGUCUUUAGAAAUGUACAAUGAGCUGACCUGAUCCAUGCUUGCAGUGUGAGAAUAUCUUGAAGGAUGAAGCUGCCAAGUUUGAGGAGAUUCAGAAGAAAUUCGUGAAAGACAAAGCUGAUCAUCUACAGGGUUUGAAAGGUAUUCUUUCUACUGCUUUCUGGUUUUGUCAUCUCCUACUCUUAUGUUCAGUAGUGUUGUGUGUCAAAAGUGUAGAUUUCUUUCAUUAGCUAAGUGGGAUAUUACCAAAAGUGAUGAACAUGUGUUUCUGCUUGACAGACACUAUUUCAAAGUUUGAGGAGGACAAGGAGAGGCUCUACAUGCGAUAUGAGCAGAUAAGUAAGCAAACCAACCCCUUAUAAUGAGACCACAGUUAUGAGAUGGCAACACUUACUCACUUCCACCUGUAAAUAACAUAUAGGGAAGAAGGAGAAGACAAUGAUAACAGAACAGGAGAAGUUCUGCACUGAAAAGCUUGCUCAAUUGGAAGAGUCACUGAAGAAAAAGAAACGGGUAAAUACAAGCCUUACAUUUACAUUACUCUUUCUCUUUGAUCUUGUUAUACGACUGAACCGCGAAUUCUCCUGGUGUAGGGUGACAAAACUUUCAGCAUACUGAGGAAAACUCUCGGCUCUUUUCUGGAGAACGAAGCUUCUGAUGAAGAAUUCCCACCUGAUGAGUGAAAGAUCAACGUCUCUUCACUUUGACGUUAGAAAGGUAAAAAAAAAAACCUUUUACUUUGAGUAGCCACCCAGACGUUUCUCUAAGUUUACUUUCCCAGCAGAAAACACUCUUAUCUCAAGUAGUGUUUCAAGGCUUUGAAUAUUAUGAAUAUGAACCUUAUUUUCUUCUAUGUUUGGUUUGUAAUGAGGCUUUACCACAAGUUAGCUAACAUCUAUAUCUGCCCUUUACAAUGUUUUUGUUAUGACUGGCUUAUAAAAAGCUUCAGUUAUUGAUAUGGAUAUAUAAUUGUAGUUAAAGCUUAUCAAACAUCUUAUCAUAUCGCUUAUCACUAGCCACUUUCGACAUUAGCUAUGGUUAUGGCUAACAUAUAGGCGGAUCUUUAACCCAAAGUCAUUGAGCUUCUAAGCCACAGAAAUUGCAUAUUCAGUAUUCACCAUUAUUUCUUACACCCUUCAGUGUUUCCAUUUGAUUGUUUUGGUUGCUCUGAAACUUAAAAAUGACAUAAAAGGGUACUAUUUUCCCUCAGUGCAAGUUCUAUCUCCACAAGGAAUGCGCCGAAUCACCCUUAGAGAUCAACCACCCUUUUCAUCCCAAACACUAUUCCAAACGAUGAACAUAGGUUUUAACUUAGUCUAUUGUACUGUAUGUCAGCGGCUCUACGGUGGUUUUCAAGUACGCUGUAUGUAUGUUGCAAUGUCAAGAUAGAUGUACAAUGUCAUCCAAUUCAGGAGCCGUUUGCAGUGCUUGUAAUGAGAUCGCAUCGUCUAUGGUGAUGGUGACUUCGCUGCACCACUUUGCCUAAAUAGAUAACACACAUAUCCACAGCCCAAUGAUUUUGCAUCUUGCCCACUUUAUUUUAAAUGUUUUUGCCGCAGACAUCAUGCAUCAUAUAUAUCUCAAAGAUCAGACAAAUGUGAAUCUAGAAGGAAAUGUGAAUCUUACAAGAACAUGAACCGUAAUUUAGAUGAACGUCUGGGCAGAGCAAGAAGGUGAUUGAUGAGUCGCAGUUUCUUGUUAUCACCAGCAUCAAUUUCGACUUUCAUCACUUGAAGAAACUGCAUUUCCCGCAGAAAGCACGUCACUUCUCUGACCUCUUUAUCACGUCCACUAAACCCAUGUAUCUCCAACACCUUCACUUCAUUUCGAUCAAUGCAGAGUCCCUGACUACUUACACAGUGCAAGCCCUGAAGCAGGCACAUACAUACAGAGUUAGGAUUGUACGUAAUACUUGACGUGCAAGCAUCUGAAUUAGUUAUCUGCUUAUAUAUUAAGUUUAGAUUUAGACACCUUGAGCACCAAAGUUUCUAGCUUUGGAGAUUUGUUGAGCAGACGCCCAAGCACAUCCCAACCUUCUUCUGUAUUACUCUCAAAAUGAAGCUUAACAAGGUUUGAGAAGAAAGGUAAUCCUCCACAACUUGAAUACAUAUCCUGAAACCAAGACAAUAAUUAACAAACUAUUGGUCAUCAUUACUAAGAUUAGGAAGAAGAGAGUUUAGAAGACAAAGAUACAGACCUUAACAGAAGCAGAAGAGAAGACAGGGAAAGGGUCUUAACAUUGCGCAUCCAAUUCAUGAUCGUAGAUAGAUCCACUAAAACUUCAUCCGUCUGUCGCAAAUUAACAUCGUGAUGUAAAUUGGAAUCCAAGAAAACAUCUAGUUUGGCUUCGACGAGGGAAUCCAAGAAAUUGGCAGUUGAAGUGGAAGUAGGAGCGAAACCAGAGUAGUCGAGGUAAACAAGACUCGGUGUGUCGAAUCGCAUGUGGCGACAGUUGUCAAGACUGUUAUUGUAGUGAGACGUGAGUCUCUUGAGGGUUUUGUGGGAUAUAUAGUAUACUUUACUUUCUCUACGUUGUCUUCUAAGUGUUGGAUAAUUAACUGGAAGACCACGUAAGUGUUGUAAGGAUAAUUCCUCAAGUAUUGGAAACAUUUUAUAGCACAAGUCUUCGCAUGUAUACCAAGCUGUAUGGAGAAAGAGACUCUUUAGCACUGGAAGAAACACUAGUGGAUAAAAUGAUAUUCGUUCUGGACCGAGCUCUAUCUCUAAUGUUAGCUUAACCAGCGUCUUGAUUGUGAAAACACUAGGCCACUUUGAUUGCACACGAGUGAAACCAAUUGGAAUACGCAUAUCAAGAUCCACGACACCUCCUCGUUCCAGGGCAUGGCUUAGCCAUUGGUCUAUUUCGGUAUGAAGGCAACUACGAGGACAUUUUAGUGAGAGUUUCUUUAUUAUGGAAUUGUAACUGGAAAGGGUUUUAUCAACAAAAUCCCCGAAGCUCUUCUCGACAUCUUUCCUCUCUCUUUUACCCUCCUCGGGAUAAACUAAAUCUGAGUAGUCUAAAUCUAAAUGAUGUUGAGAUGAAAAGAGUUGAAACAUCAAUGCAAACAGAUUCCUCCACCUUUUGGAGACAAGACAUGUAGAAGCAGCUCGUUUUGUCGGAAGAAAUGAUAUGAUCUUAGCAAGUAUCUCAUCUGGAAACGAGUUGAUUGUAUCUCUCGAGCAACAUUUCACCUUUUUGGCAUCCAUGAGAUCCAUCCAAGCCCUAGUAGUCAAAAUAUUAAAUAUCAAAGUGCAAAAACUAGAAAAACGACCAUUAUAGUUAAGAAAAUAGCAAUUAGGGUUUGUGAACUUUCCUUAUCAGCCCAUUUGCAAUUAAUUCAACAUCAAACAAUAUGGGAUUACCUUUAUUUCCAGUGAUGAAAUUAAGCUCGAGAAGCGAAAUCGAAGAAUCGCAACAUUUAGGGUUUCUCCUAUAUUCUUCCGCAAGUAAACCCUAAAAGUUGUGUUUCGAAGAUGACUCGUUGUACCCUUUCGACAUAUAUCGUGGGACUCGAAACGAACUUUGCCAAGUUGUUUGGGUUUAUGAUAACGACGAAUCUUAAUUCUCGAAUUUGUCAAAGAUUAUAACUUUAUAAGUACUGAAUUUGGGCUUGAUGGGCUCUUCAUUAGACUAACAUAAAUGUCUCGGACAUGUAUAUGUGUUCUUCUAACUGUUUACAAGCCUCCUUCAGAUUCAGCCUUACACUUGACAAGUCGCUGACUAUAGCAUUCUGUAAUAGAAUUGGUCAAUUGGAACUUUUGUGGAAGAUGAAAGGAUUUGCUAUUUCAAAAUAAACAUAUUUUUCUUAUGAAUUACAUAUCAUGCCUCUUGAUUUUACAAGAAUCUCAACAAAAGAGGAUGAAAAUGUUAAAGCGAAGAUGAGUUUUCACUUCCAGAGUUCUUCCAUGGGGAUUCCACGCUCUUGAGCAACAUCGCGGAACUGUCUCAUCUGUUGCACUGCCGCAAGAGUGGCUCUCGCAUUGUUGAGAGCAUUGUUGCUUCCGAGCUGUUUUCCCAAAGCAUUCUCGACUCCUGCCAUCUCUAGCACGAUCCUGACCGCUCCUCCAGCAAUCACACCAGUACCUGGUGAAGCCGGUCUAAGCAUCACCUUGGCUGCUCCAUAAUCACCCUCCGAUCUAUAAAACAAAAACCAAACAAACCCUCUAAAAACAUAACCAAAACACUCGCCAAUUGUUCCCAAAACAUAGCUCAAUUGCCUAUCAACCAACCGAUUCUUCUAAGAUGAUUGUGAACAACUCAAAGAUCAAUCUCAUAAAACCAGAAUUCUUAGUAACACCUUCCAUAAAUCAACCCUUAAACCAAACAAAUCAUCACAUCCAACACAAUGCUAAACAGACUAAACCCCACAAUCUUAGCUCAUUGCCUACUGAUUAACAAAAACCGACUCUGCUAAUUAUUAGGGCGGGCACUCUCUAUUCAAGAUUUAACUUUUUAGCACAAUGCAAACAUCAGUUUCAUAACACCAAUCCUUGAACCAAACAAACCCAUCACAAAUCCAACACAUGACUGCACAAUACUAAGAAAUUGAACUCCCAAAAUCAUAGUUCAUCACCAAGUAAGACAUCUUAUCAUCCAAAACCAAUUCUUCCAACCAUUAACACACAUUACAAACAUCAAAUUCAAAACUUUGAUUACCUGUGGGGGAAAGUAGAGUACUUAGUCAUAGGAACUUGAACAAUGUUUCUCCUAGCAUCAAUGGCAGAUUUCUGAACAGCAGCAACAACUUCUUUAGCCUUAGCACAACCAACACCAACAUUCCCCUGUUUAUCACCAACAACAACAAUAGCUCUAAACUUCAAUUGCUUCCCACCUUUAACAACCUUAGUCACUCUCCUAACUUGCACAACUCUCUCUUCAAACCCAUCUCUAAUCUUAUCUUUCUUCAGCUUCCCACCAAUACCUGAACUCUUCUUAUGCUUCGAAUCCAUCACAUAAAUGUCUUUCCCAAGCAUACUCUCACCACUAUACGCAGGACCAUAGAGCUCUUCAAAAGCCGUCGCGAUCUCUUCCUCUGUCUCGUCACUUCCUUCGUCGAAAUACGGAGGGGGGACGAAUCCUUCGGGAGCAAUUGGUGGGUCGAAGACGACAUUGGCGGUUAUUUCUGGGGUUUCGUCUUCGAAGAAGAAAGUUUCGGUUUCGUUCGAUGAGGCUUUGACGAGAGUGAGAGAUGAGACGCGGCGGUUGAGGAAGGAGGAGAAGGAGACGAUGGGUUUUGUGGAGGAGGAGGAGAUGAGAGAAGAGGUGGUUCGGGUGUGGAGUGAGAGAGAAGAGAGUGAAGAGAGAGCUGAUGCUGUCGCCAUUGAAAAUGGAGGCUUUUUGGAUGAGGAAGGAAGUGAGAACGAAGCAAAAGGCUUAUCCAGCACCAGACUGGUGAAAAACUGAAAAGAAAACUGUCUUAGGGGUUUUAAAGUAAUUAUUAACUUCUGGUUGUUUACAAAUUGGCCACAAUAUAUUUUUUAAUUACAUUUGAACCCUCGUAACUUUUAUUACAUAUGAUAUGAGCUCUUUUUGUUCGAAUUUGGGCCCUUUGCAAGCUUUCCUCACUUCCCCUUUGUGGCCCAAUAAAGUUUCUUCAAACCCAUAGCAAUGGAUUAAAUAUGAUGAAUCACUAGGAUAAGCUUUAGGUUUACUAAUCUUUUUUUUUUCUUCUUGCUAAACAAAAUAAUAAGGAAGUUUGAGGUUUUACAAAAAAAAAAUACUUACACAAGAGCAACCUUGGCAAAAAAAAAGCGAAAAAGUUAUAAUAGAGUUAAAGAAAGAUUUGGAUCGACUACCGGAUCCAAUAAGCAUUAGCCUUCAUCAGCGUUUCCUUCGUCGUCUUGAAAUGGUGAUGAUGUGAAACUUGAAAUUGAAAAUAAUGUGAGGAGCCAACCGCUAGGAGUUAUGUAGGAAGUUAUUUCGCUACCACCAAAUGUUGUAGACCACCGCUUAAGUUACCACUUUCGUAAGCUGAGAAGGUUUACUAAUCUUAAAAUUACAAAAGAUCAUUGAUCAGGCUAAUUCAACAUUUUUUUUUUUUUUACAUACAUACUUUGGUCAUUUAAUAUGGACUUUUCCCUAAUUAAGAUCGACUAUGCUAUCUACAAUCCUCUAUGACACCAACGAGCAACGUUAUUUGAUUUUUUUUUAUGAUUUUAAUAAGUAUGAUUUGCAAAAUAAUCAAAAGGUGACCAAAAAUAUAUGAGUGUACUACACAAAAAGGCCCUACUAAAAAUUUAAUUAACGCUGGUGUCACGUGGGGAAGUUAAGGUUCCCCCACCACUUCUCUUCUUCUUUUUAUUGUCCAUUCCAAAAUUUAACCAACACAUCAAAGAAACGUCAUUAAUUUUAUGUUCAGGCUUGUAGUUGCAAACGUCAUUUAUUUUUGUUACGUUUACAAGUUAAGAACUAGCUCGUGAUAAUCAUGAAUUAACUACAAUUUUGUUGACUCUUUCUAUCUUAAAGUUUAGGUACACUACACAUCAUAUUACUCAAAAAAACAGUUAAGAGAGUUUGUAUACAAAUCCAUCACAUAUAUUUACCGUAUAAUUGAAUUGGUUUAAUGAGGAAAGAAAAUGAAAAAAGAAGAGAAUGAGAUGCUGCUGAGCAAAAGAUACAAACAAAAUUGACAGGCAGUACAAUAAUAAUGUGGAGUUGUGUCAUGACAGCUGACGAGUCUACUGCCCAAUCUUGACGUUUUUAUUUUUCUCCAUUUUUUUCUUAUGAUAGUAUUUCAACUUAAAGAAGAAGUUGAAAAUAAACCAUUAUUAGUGCAUAUCAAAUACAAUUAACUCCUUUUAUAAAUCGGAUUCGAUUCUUUUUUUAUGUCAGUGUCGUGGAUCUCAAUUUUUAUGUUAUGCCUCGGUAUACUGAUUAUGAUUUUCAUUCAGGUGACUUUACGAAUAUAUUUUAGGGCUAACUAGAUCGAUUGAUAUGAAAACAAAUAUAUAUAUAUAUAUAUAUAUAUAUAUAUAUAUAUAUAUAUAUAUAUAUAUAUAUAGAUAUAUCAACUGUGAAAAUAGUAAACCGGUGAUUUUGUUUCGUAAACAGUAAAAGAAGGGGUUACAAAAAAAUAGAUUUGUCCCUUAGCCUCUAAUGAUAUAUAAGCAAACAUUUGCAUAGCUGUACCAUUUCUUUUUUUUUUUUUUUUUUUUUUUUUUUUUUUUUAAUAAACCACUUUAUAUUAAUACCUCAUAGAGUACAAACAUGAUUACAUGGAGAGAGAUUAAACAAUUGCAGCAAAACAGAGAGGGAUUACUGGAAUUUGGCAAACCAUAACAUUAGAUAGGUCUCUUGAGUUUGAGUAACGUUGGAGGAUGUAGAAGAAGCAGAACGAUCCAAACCAGCAAGUCUUCUUCUCAGGAGGAGUUGGAUUUCUCUCUUUAGUUGGAUUUCAGAACGAAAAGAGGUGGUGUGUAGCCGUGCAUUUCGCUCCUUCCAAAUGUAGUAAGCCAAAGCAUGAAUAACAAGUUUACAAAUGGCAUUAAGCUUCCUAUUUGUGGUAGGGUUCUUAAUCCAGUCGAGUAAGAUUGGGAAACUUGAAGAAGGAGCAGGCGAGAAACGACCAAAGAAAUCCAUCAGUAGAGUAUUGGAGUAUCUACACUGGAAAAAGAGAUGAUCUCUCGAUUCCUCACCAGAGAGACAGAGAAGACAAGCGGCUGGGAUUGGAAGAUUCCAACUUCUAAGACGAUCUCUUGUUGUAAGUCUAUUCUGAACUGUUAACCAAAACAUGAAAGCAAGCUUUGGAAUUUUUUCUUUAAACCAAACUUGUGAGUGCCAGUGGACAGGUGGACCAGGAGGGUGUAAAUGAAUCCAAGUUUUUGAGGAAGAGAAGAGGUCAUUUGCUUGGUCUACAGAGAUUUUCCAUUGGUAGGAAUCAGACCCAAAUUCAGUGGAUAGAGGUGGGAUUUGAUCAUAAAGGCAAGAGCGCAAAAGCAGAACAAGAGGAUGUCUACCACGAGGGAUUGACCAUUCAUCAUUAGAAACUGCUUCAGAAACCGAAGAUAAGAGAGCAAUUCCAGUAACACGAGGACCAGCUUCACCAACAAUGUCAAUAAGAGGACCAAGGGAAGUCCAGUUAUCGUGCCAGAACAGAGCAGUUCGGCCAGAGAGGAUGCUGCAGAAGACAAAAGGCCUAGCCAAGACUCUCAGCUUUACUAACCGUCUCCAAAUCCAGCUUCCUGUGGUAGAAAAAUCAGCAUUCCAGAAGCAUCUGUCUCUAAUUAGGUGUUUCUUAACCCAAGAGACCCACAACGAUCCAGCUUGAGAGAAAAGGAGCCAAAUCAAUUUCAAACCAAAAAUCUGAUUCCAGAAGAUCAAACUUUUCAAACCAAGACCACCUGAAAUUUUUGGGGUACACACUAUCUCCCAAGAAACUUUAGCACCACGAGCAGUAUUGGCAGCACCAUUCCAUAAAAAGGCACUACAAAUAUGCUCAAGGUCAGAUAGGCACUUGUUUGGCAAGACAAAAUUCGAAGCCCAGAAGUUAAUUGUACUGUUAAUGACAGAUUGUAGGAGUUGGAGCCUUCCAGCGAACGAGAGAUGUCUAUUUGUCCAAGAGGAGAUUCUGCCUUUAACUUUGUCAAGCAGAGGUUGAUAGUCAGAGGCAGUAAGUUUGCUAGGCUGUAGGGGCACUCCAAGAUAACGAACUGGAAGUGAUCCAUGUGAAAGGUUGUGUCUUGAAGAAAUCUGACUGGUAAGAUCAAAGUUGUUUCCAUCAAGAAAAAGGCAAGAUUUAGCCAAAUUGAUGCUCAAUCCCGAGGUAAGCUUGAAUUGAUCCAGAACAUCAAAAAUAGCAAGGAGAGAGGAUUCUUCACCAUUAAAAAAUACAAGCAAGUCAUCAGCGAAGCUUAGAUGAGUGAUUAACGGGUCAACACCUAAAGGAUGAGUAAGAAUUCUCCCAGAAGAGACUGCCAAGUCAAGCUGCUUAGAAAGCGUAUCCAUUACCAAGGAAAAAAGCGGAGCAGAGAUGGAAUCACCUUGUCUCAAACCUUUCUUUCCUGGGAAAUAACCGACUAGCUCACCAUUGAAAGCAACUGAGAAGGAAGGAGUAGAGAAGCAUUGAGAGAGCCAAUUGAUGAACAUAGGAGGAAGAUCAAUAGCUUCCAAGAUGUUAGAGAGAAAACCCCAAUCAACGUUGUCAAAAGCCUUAGAGAGAUCUAUUUGGAAGCAGCCUCUAGUCACUGGACCCGGUUUGUUAAAAUCUGUAACCAAUUCAGAAGCCAAUAACAAAUUUUCACAGAGCAAUCUACCUUUGAUGAAGGCAACUUGGUUCCUUUGGGCUGCCAAUCCGAUGAAUAACUUUAGCCUGUUUGCAAGGAUCCUGGAAAUAACCUUGUAGAUGGAGUUGCAGCAAGAGAUUGGUCUGAAACUACCUAGCUUAUCCGCAUCAUCUGUUUUGGGAAUCAAAGCUAGAAUUGUUGCAUUAACCUGUUUGAGAAGCUUCCCUGUCUUGAAGAAAUCUACCACAGCCGCAAUGAGAGAAGGACCAACCAGCCCCCAAGAAGUGAUAAAGAAAUCGAUAGUAAAACCAUCGGGUCCAGGAGCCUUAUUCCUAGGUAAGGAAAAGAUAGUAGAUGUAACCUCUUCGAGUGUUGGAAUUGCAGUAAGUUGAGCAGCUAAGGCAGAAGAACAUCUGAAAGGAUUCAGCUCUCUAAUUCUUUCCACGGAGAGCGGUUGGACAUCGAAGUUCCUUGAGCCAAGAAGGUUAUGAUAAUAGUCAAUGAUAAGCUGCUUGAGUUGGUCUUUAUCAGUGAUCCUCUCAUCUGCAUCAUUCCUAAGAUAACCAAUUGAGUUUCUGACCUGAUGAGCUUGAACAGAUUUGUGAAAGAAGCUAGUGUUUGAAUCACCUUCAUCACACCACCUAAUUCUAGAUUUUUGUUUUAAAAAGGAUUCCUCCGCUGAAGAAAGGAAAGUCCAUCUCUUCCUUAUCUCACGUUCCUCUUCAAACAGAGCUGGAGUUGGAUUUGUGAGAAUCUGAUGUUGAACACUUGUCAACGAAUCAUGAGCUUCAGCAGUCCUCUGUUGGAUAUUACUGAAGCUAUUUCUGUUCAGAGCUUUGCACACCACCUUAACCGCCUUUAGCUUUUGACAGAGCGAAAACAUGGUAGAGGUAUUACCAAGAUCUAAAUUCCAAGCAGAUUCCACUAAGCUUUGAUAAUCAGGAUGAGUGGAGAAGAAAGAGUAGAAUUUGAAGGGCACUUUUCUCCUCUCAACAAUAUCAGAAGUGGAGACCAGAAGUGGGGAGUGAUCAGAACCCCCCGGAGCAUCGACGAAAACACUUGACUGAAGAAAAGUAGAAAACCAUGACUCAUUAAUAAGGGCCCUGUCCAACUUGCGAGUGAUUGGGUUGGUCGGCUGACCAUUAUACCAUGUAUGAGCAGAGCCUCUGGUAGACAAAUGAAGGAGCUCACAGGAAUCAAUACAAUUUUGAAAUUCAUUCAUACCUUGUAAAGGUAACGAAUAUGGAAUAAGAGAAAAAUGAUCCUCCGCUUGAAGAAUUUGGUUAAAAUCACCUAGAAUCAACCAAGGAUGAGAGCUUUGAUAUCUAUGUUGAUGAAGAAGCUCUUCCAUAUCAGCCCAAAGGUCUCUUCUAGCAAUCAGACAGUUCCUGGCAUAGACAAAAGUAACCGAGAAAGACUGGCGAGAAAAGGAAUCAAAAACUCCACAAGAAAUGAGUUGGUCUGACUUUUUAUAGAUAAAGACAGAGACAGCCGGGUUCCAAACAAUCCAUAUUCUUCCAUUCUCUGCCGAAGGUGAGUAGUUACACUCGUAUCUCCAACCAGGGAAGAUCCGAGCCAAAAUUGAAGCUGCAUUGUCACAUUGGACAUGAGUUUCCAAAAUACCUCCAAUGGAAGGUCUACAAGUGGACACCCAACGCUUAAGCUCUUGUUGUCUUUGGUAAUUAUUUAAUCCCCGAAUAUUAUAACAAAAAAUCUUCAUCAUCAUCAUAGUGGACAAAAGGUUGCAGAAAGCUAAGCUUUCAAGCGAGAUGAUGGGAGCGUCCCUUUCCUGGACGACGUCCUCUAGUGGAGUUCUUUACUGUUGUUGAAGGCGUUUUCUUAGUAAUUGCAGCAACUACUUUUUGCUUAGUAGAACAGGAUGGCGCAACUGCUGGCAGAAUAACCAAAGAAGAUAAAGGAAUGAUUUCUUUCUCGGUGCUAUUUGGUUGAUUAACUUGACAACGAAAAGGAGACCCUGAUCUGCGCCUGAUAAUUCGCUGACCAAUCUGGAUAGCUUCUUCCUCUUCGGCAAACUGAGCAGAGGAGACCGAAGGCCCUUGUGAGAUAGCAGCAACCUCAACGUUUUUCUCUUUAUUGCUAGGAUGCUUAGACUUGCUCUUAACAACUUGCCAAUCAUUUGAAACAGUUGGAGGGGAGGCUAGGUAUAUGUGAUUGGGAUUAGAAGAAGUAGCCUGAGUAGAGAGCUUGGAGGGAGGUGUGACAGACGGAGGACCGGAAGCUGGCACACCAAGAACAGGAUGUGACAGAGUGUUUUUCCGAGGAGGAGGCUGCACUCUCAAUGUCACAUUAGCUAUUGGGUUCACUUUUGCUUGUGGAGGGACUUUCUCAAAAGUGAGUGAUGGAGGCAAGGAGAUAUCAGGAGCAACUGGACACCUAUGGUAAAGAUGACCAUAUUCAUUGCAAAAAUCACACUUUGGAGGAAGCCUUGGGUACUCAACCCACACUCGAAGCUCAUUGCCUUCAUCGUCCACUACCAGGACAGAGCUGGGAAGAACUUUAGUAAGGAGGAUCUCCACUUUGAUCCGCGUAUCCGGAGCUAGAGGAGGAAGCUGAUGCUUUUCAGUGUGAAGAGGUUCUCCAAUGCCAGAGGCAAUGGUACUCAACCCUGGGAGAGAGUAAAGUUGUGGAGGAACAUCUUUGAUUAUUACCCAUAUCGGUAAAGAGACCAGCUUUAUUGGAGUCAAGGUAGCUGUUGGAGACCAAGCGGUGACAGUGAAGAGACAAUUACCAGCUUGCCAACAACCAACCUCAAGGACCCAUUGUCGUGUGAGCUCAGAUGGGAUGAAGAUAAGCACUGGUCCGUUUGGGAGAGCCUUGAUAUGGAUACGACCAUCGGUACCCCAAAUAGGAUUUAGGUCAGUGAAAAUUUUACCCGGAGGCGGCGGAUUGCCAUGGAAGUGGGCAACGAUGUGGUCUUUCCAUGUAUCGGACGCUCGGAGAAUGACGGAAGCAGGGGCUCUGACUUUUGGAGUACCAUCUUCAGUGAACGUUGGUAGCGAGACUUUCUUCAGGUUGCGGAGGUUGGACUUGAACCUAGCAGCCCAGAGCAACUGAGUAUCAUGAAUCACAGGGGGAAUUUCCAAUUCCUCCUCCUUUUCCAAAGAGGGAGUGGAGCUAGUUGUGAGCGGGACAGAUCCGUCCGAAAGAAGAGGAGCUGUAACUGAUGUCAAAUUGUCAGAGAUCUCUGAAUCCGUGACGACUGAAGCUUGGCCAGCCACGGGAAAAGGAGACAGUAGAAUAGGAGGAGCGGCGGCGGAAACUAGAUGAGAAGAUUGGGAUCUGUGGAUGGUGAGAGUUACGGGGUCGAUUGGAGACGAAGAAGAUGUUGGAUCAGGGGGAUCUUUAGCCGAAGGAAGUACAACAGUAGAUGCAGCCAUCUGAAGAAAGGAAGAGGGGGGAGGAAGAAGAUAUUCUCGACGGCGGCGUGAGGCCAACACCGACGGCGGCGUGAGGCCAACACCGACGGCGGCGGAAAAAUUAGGUUUUCGCCAAAGUAGUCGCACUUUUCCUAUGAGAGAGAAAGUCCUUUGUGUAGCUUUUUGUCUUUACAAGCAAUUUUAUAGCUGUACCAUUUCUAAAUUUGUGUAUAUGUGGAUCAGUGGAUGUGCAUGGAUCUAGCUGAUGGCAUAACAUUCCAAAAUCUUUUAACAUUUGAUUAGCAUUGGCAUCAUUUGACGACGCUCCUCCGCAUUUAUAUAUGUGAAUAUGCAUGGGUCUAUACUGAUGACAUAACCUAGUAUAUGUGCAUGGUUCUAUGGUGUCAAGUGCAUUUAUAUAUGUGAAUAUGCAUGGGUCUAGCUGAUGACAUAACCUAGUAUAUGUGCAUGGUUCUAUGGUGUCAAGUGUGAACUAAGUUUUUUUAUUUAUUUAGAUAUGGUCUUCAAAUCCCACGAACCACAAAGCCUCCGUUCACGUCAAGAAUAAUCUUUUUUAUUUUGUUGCUUCUAGUUCUCAGAGUUUCUUCGAGAUUUUUUUGGUGUUUAGUGUAACCCUGAAUACAAGAUCGAAAAGAAAAUAUCUUGUGUGUUUGUAAGGCUAAAACCAUGGGGAUUUCUUUGAAAUCGUAGUUGAUUUCAAACAUAUAAUAAAUGGGACGAUUUGCUGUUUUUACCAUUUAAUUAUGCUAAUAUCUUUAUUUACAUAUUACCAAUUGAAAAAUGAUUACAUUCAAGUUUGGACCAUUCUUAUAUGUCCACUUUUGGAUUCGUGGCCCGGCUAACUUGAUUGACAUUAUCAUCUACACCAAACAAGAUAUCAAAUUGUCAAAUUAAUUUAGUGGUGGCCCUAUGCUAUAAAAUCGAAAGAACUUCUCUUUGUAACCAAAUAUUAUCCUUACGACAUAUCUAUGUGCAAAUUAGUGGACAUCUUCCUCAGUUAUAACGUUUUUACAAACCUACCGUUGGAUAAAUUAUAGAGCCAGCCACUCCAUGAUUGAUCGGUCCCAAUUAAAUUAUAGAGCCAGCCACUCCAUGAUUCAUCACUUGUCCCAAUUAAACUGUUAUUCUUUUUCAAUGCAUAUAUAAACUUUAAAUAAUAAAAUAAAAUAAAACGAAUGAUUCAUAAGAACGCAAUGUGGUCUGUUUUCUAGUUCGAAUCUCAACUUCUUGUUACCACAAAAAAGAAAAAAUAUUUCACUAUGUAAAACUUAAAUUUACUGUUCAAUUUUCUCUUGUCCAAAUCACUAUAUAUUAGCCAGUGUUCUAAAGAGCGGUCUAGGCGGUCGCCUAGGUCCCGACUAGGCGCUAAGCUCUCAUGCGACGCCUAAAUAACCGCCUUGACCGCCUAAAAUUAUAUAGAACUUGUUUAGUGUAUUUUUUCAAUUUCAAUUAGAGUUUUAUUUAUAUAUAUAGUUAUAAAUAUUCAUAUAUUGUUUAAUAUAAAUAUAAAUAAAUGUUUUAUUUAGUUUUUGUUUAUAAUUUCAUAAUUUUUAGUUUUAUAUAGAUAUUUUAUAUAACUUUUAUAUAUAAUAUCAUAUUUAUAAUGUUUUAUGUUAUAAUGGUCUGUUUUCUAGUUCGAAUCUCAACUUCUUGUUACCACAAAAAAGAAAAAAUAUUUCACAAUGUAAAACUUAUAGCGCUUUCUUGAACACUGAUAUUAGCUAGUGCAUAUUCUUCAAAUGUACUUUUCAGUGUUUUUCAGUUUCAGUUUCUCGGUAUUUUCCUGUCAAACAACAUGGAUAUUUGAAGCCCGCAUCAGCACUAACAUGAUAAACCCGGGUGGUGACAUAGCAUCGACAGUAACUUAAACUACAAAACAAAGCCUGGGUGACUGGGUCCUCGUCAGGUUUUAAGGAUACAUAUGUAUUCAUGUAUGCAUAUACAAAAUAAUAGAGCACUAAAGCUUGUUCGUACUCUUUUUUACACGACAUGCUAAUAAUUUUUAUACCUUAGGAGUGAAAAUUUAGUGGUCCAACAACUUAAGCACCUAAGAUCCUUCCCCACUUUUGUUUGGGGCUCCUUUAUAUCUCUUCCAAUGUUUACUUGUACUUCCUCUUCGUCUUCUUCUCUUCUUGUUCCCUCUUUCAUGUGAGAGAGAGAGAGAGUUGAAAUUUGCAGAUGAGUAUGAGAAGAAGCAAAGCGGAAGGUAAGAGGAGUUUACGAGAAAUGAGUGAGGAAGAGGAAGACGAAGAAACAGAAGAUGAAGAUACUUUUGAAGAAGAGGAGGCUUUGGAGAAGAAGCAGAAAGCUAAAGCUACAAGUAGUAGUGGAGUUUGUCAGGUCGAGAGUUGUACCGCGGAUAUGAGCAAGGCCAAACAGUACCACAAACGACAUAAAGUCUGCGAGUUUCAUGCCAAAGCUCCUCUUGUUCGGAUCUAUGGUCUUCACCAACGUUUCUGCCAACAAUGCAGCAGGUAAAUUUCUGUCAUCUUUUUCAACCUCCUUCAACAGCAACCAAAAACAAGAACAAGUAAUAUUUGGUUUUUAAGGUUUCACGAGCUCAGUGAGUUUGAUGAAGCCAAGCGGAGUUGCAGGAGACGCUUAGCUGGACACAACGAGAGAAGGCGGAAAAGCACAACUGAAUAAAGACGGUGAAAAGUGUGAGAUCCCAAUUUGAAGGUUAAUGAAACAGGCUUUGCUUACUCUCUUCUGUCAGUCUCUUUUAGCUCCUUGUAAUCCUCUGUGUAUCCUCUGUUUCCAUAUUACCUGCAAUCAAAGCUAUCUGCUAAACCUAUGACAUGAUUAAAUAAAUGCAUUAAGACUUGAUAAAUGCUUCAAGGAAUAUGUGUAAGACUGUUUAAACUUGGAAAAUGUUAUUUCAAGCCAAGAUCUUAAACUAAAUCAGGAAACUGUAUUUGUUUUGCAAUCAACAAAUGGGGAGACAGAGCUAAAAGGCUAUCAAAAAUAAUAAUCUGGGAGACACUUUUGAUUCUUGAUAUAUGUAGUUCUGUUACAAGAAAGCUCAUCAAAAUCUGAAGCAAAUGCAAGCUCCUUGUGGUUCUGAGAUCUGAAAAUCAGACCAAAUAAAUUAGAUUCGAAGACUAAUCCUAGUCCCGUUUGAUUCCCAACAUUUUCAUUGAGAACUCCCAAGCAACGAUCGCUGCCGCAUUAGCAGGGAAUGCUCUCACAAUUGUUGGACCCAAACCUGCAUAGCAUCCCUUGAGUCCUGCCCUCUUGUGAAUCUGCAGAGAUUAUUUAAAGUCAAAAAAGAUAUUUCAUAUACUCUUUGGUAUUGGUGUUUAGAUACACAGAUGCAAGAUGGCUGACCGACCGAGCUCAACACUUUAAAAGGAUUUCUCUCGGUAGCUUUGUCUGAAGAGGUCUGGAUAAUGGUUUUUGCUACAUCAAAGGGCAAAACAGCUGACCAGCACUGCAUCAUAGAAACAGAUGUAAUAUACAUAUAAUAUAGCAACAUUUUUCAUGACGGAAUUCAUGAAACACACUAGAUAGAUUCUUACAGCUAUGCCUCCAAGACCACCAGUGAAAACUCCUAUCCCCAAGUCAACCAAGUAACCAUCUUUCAGCUUAGAAUCCUCCAAUCUCGAGUGGAUAUGAUACCGUAAAUACUCAUAGACAGUAAAAAAGACAGCAUUUCCAGCACACUCUCUUAAUAAUGUUGCCGAGCCACCACGAAAUAUACCUGUUACCUGAAAGAUAUCCCCAUCAACCUAAUGUUCGAUUCCUAGAAUAUUAUAGCAACGAGAGUUUCUCACCCCUUCAUUUUUAACGGUCUGAACGGCACAAUCAAGAGGACUUUUGUAUCUACGGAAGUUAGGAACCAAAGAAUCCGUUCCUUGGAUCUGCAUUCUACACUGAAGAAAACAGUGAAUGCCCAAAACUCCAUAGAAACCAUCAAAGGUAAUAAUUGCGGGGAAAGAAAUGGUGCUCUGGAGAUUUCACCUUUACAAGCUCUGUUGGACAUAACACAAAACUAAUAAUAGCUCCACCAAACAUAGCAGACGGAACAAUUAUCUCUGGUCGUGGCCCAUCAUCUGGCAAAGUUCCCUUUACAAUAAAACAAGAAAGAAGCAAAAUAUGAAGUUUGGAGGAAAAUAAUACAGUACAAGAUCGUUUGGCCUGCAAUGUUACCCGCAAGAACAGCUUUGCCUGGGAGUAUAUGCCAAACAUCAAUGAACUUUCAAAAGCCAUUCCGAAAAACGACGAUGUAGCUCCCCUAUAAAGUCCUUUGACCUAAAUAUGAAAGCAAAAAAGUUGUAUCCAGCCAAUCAGGUGAUGAUGGAUCUAGUAAGAUUCCAUUGACACAAAAAAAAUCCAAAUUUUCAAUAACUGAAAUAGUUUGCAAGAUUCAAGAGUCUAGGAAACAUAACAAAAGUGCAGGGAAACAUACUCCUUCAGUUUGCAGGAUCCUUGAAGCACAAUGCAGCCCGUUUUUGUAUCUGAGCCCUUGCACAUCUGUAUUAUGUUUCUGAAGUUUCACCUGACACAAGAAACAAACCCCGAAGAUACAAUCAUUACCUCCUAACAUGAGUGAUGCCAAUUCAGUGAUACACUAUCUAAGAAAUGGUUCACCAAAAACAAGAACGCCUAGAAAGCUCAUACGCAACAAACCUAAAAAAAGCCCCAACGGCAUCACAUUGACAUAUCAAUGGUCCAGUGUAGAAGAACACUUUGUCACACCAAUGCAAUCUUAAUUCAAAAUUCUGCAGCUAAGUAUAGAAUUCAUGUCUGAAGCAUAAUUCCUCAAAUUGGAAGAUGAAACACAUAUACCCAUUUCGUAUAAACCUGAUAAAACACCUAUGUGACAAGAAAAUUAAAAAAUCGAGUACCUUGACGGUGUCGAAAGGGUGGCCGACGGCGACAGUGGCGAGACCAGCCAUCAUUCCAGCGACAUAUUCCUUGUAAAACCCUAAACCCUCUCCUGUCGUCGUCUUCUUCUCUCCCAUUCCCUCCGAGCAAAAGGAAGUGUCUUUUGCUUUCUUCUUUCUAUCAACACUCCUAUUAACACUCUUUUGAUUUCUAAACAACUUUCCAAGAGGAAGGAAACAUUGCAGUGCCAAGUAAAAUUUAAAUUCUGAUUAAUUUACCUUUUUACUUUUUUUUUUAAGAUAAGCACAAUUUGUGUACCCAAAAGAAAAAUAGAUUUGGUGCAAACUAAUUAGAAUGAUAGUUUCGGUCUAAACGUGACAAAAUCAUAUUAGUUUGGGUACAAAAGUGAUGAAAAAAAACAAAAAAAAAAACUAAUUAAACAAAAUUUAGAAACCUGAGUCCCUAACUCUGAUUUUUUUCACUAUGAUCGUUUUUGAUGGACCCGAUCACAAAACUUGACUCGUUUAGCAUCUAAGACUGUUCUAAUACUUUGUAGUAAGAAAAAUUCAACUUGUUUUUUUUUUGUCCAAAAAUGGUAAUUUAUGUGAUGGAGAGUGUUGAACUUGUUAAAAGAUUUAUAGUAUCAUAUAGUUGCGUUUUAUAGGUUCAACAAGAUGGAUAGUGUAAAUCAUUUUGUUAAUUUGUACUUUAAAAGAUUUUUUCAUCAAAUAUGUUUAUAAUCGAUCAACGAAUGGCAUACAAAAUGUUCACUGUUUUAUGUGGUAUAUAUAUAUAUAUAUAUAUAUAUAUAUAUAUAUAUAUAUAUGAUUUAAAUUUUCGUACCUAUAUUGAUAUGUUUUUCUUCUUCUUCGUGGACAUCGGACAACUUCUGCAGAGAAUCAUACCAAAAUUCUAGUGAUCAUCGGAUAACUUUUACGGAUUUUCAAGGGAUUCUCUGAGACUUGAAAGCUAUGGAAAAUCAAGACUCAUCCCAAAAGGAGUGAAUUUUCAGUUACUGAGAUUGAGUUGAUAGAGGAAUUAAUUCUUAGGCCUUCUGUCAAUCUCGAGAACAUUGAACGCAACCCUGUUACUCAGAUAAGUUCUUCCUUUUGUUUCACUGUUAUAAUCUUGAGAAAGUAAGAGUUUCUUUCUAUAUAAAAAGAUGUUAAAGAAAAAAAAUACAUCUAUUGAUAUAAUUCCCUUACAUUAUAUUGUGAAUUCCAAAUAAACAUUAAACGUCAAAAAAAAAAAGAUUAUGAAGAAGUUGCUUAGAAAGAUUUUAUCGAAAAAGAAAACGACAAGUCUAAGAAGAGAUUCAAUAAAAAUAAUCAGUUCAAAGCAUGCAAAGAAAACUAACAAUAUCUAAUAAAACCAUAAUAAUUCAACUUUUAAGAUUUUAUAAAAUAAAAAGGGCAUCUAGUUAUCUAGUUAAUAUUAUUUAGUUUAAAGGUUUAAAUUAGAAGAUGGUAGUGAAUCCAAAGUGGCAAAUAGAGGAGUUAAUCUCAUCGCUUAAAGUAUAACUAAUGACUUUUAACGGCUCCAUUCAUAUGUAGCUCUUGGUUACAUAUCCUGGUUGCAGAGUGUGUUUAAUGGUGAGAGAUUUCUUUCUUCUCUUUGAACUUGUGUGUUUUUUUUGUAGAGCUCGUUGUGGAUCAAAUUUUUUUGUAUAUGUCCUUUGUAUUGUGAAAAAUGCUUAGAAUAGGCGUUAUCCCUCAGGUUUGGGUUGGUUCUUUUUGUGUAAGCUGGUAUAAUCCUACCUACCUUAUUUAAUUAAAUCAGUUGAAAAGAAAAAAAAAGUAUAAUUGUAUCCCAACUACAUCCCAAAGACAUGUAUAAACUUUAAUUAAAUCACUAUCAUAAUUGUUUGUUGACACAAAGAAUUCAUCUAACCAUGGUUAUGGUUUUGUUAUUUGAUGAGAUGAGAUCAACCAUAGUUAAGUUAAACUUUAAUCAAAUCUCACUAUCAUAGUUGUUUGUUGACAAAAGAAUUCAUCUAACCACACCUAUGUUAAGUUUUUGUUAUUUAAUGAUUAUGAGAUCAACCAUGGUUAAGUUAAAUUCCAUUAUGCAAACCAUAGUUUAAGUCAAAUUCUAUCGUUAGCCAGAUCAUUAGAAGCUAAAUAGUUAUAUUAGUAUAUUACCGAACAGUAGAAACAUUACAAGACACUGAAGACGCAUCGCUACCGUUAAAGGUUAAAAACCAACCCAGAUGGUGGAGAUCAACGGUCACUAACAUCCACAAAUUAAACGACAAGAAGUAAAAUAAAAGAUUGCGAAUACAGCCAAAAUAGAAGAAACAGAACAUAAACACGUGGCGGAAGGAAGACAUGACAUUUUACAUCACUCGCAUGUCACUCUAUCCUCAUCGGCUCAAAGGUGCUUGCUCCUAGUAUCGUCGCUGUAUAGCCUACAGGAUCACAACAACGGUCAGACCAUCUUCGAUCUGAUCUAAACCGUCCGAUCACAUAAUAAUAACAAAAACUGAGUACGUACCAAUCGUAGACGGUGGGAGAGUUUGGGUGAGAAGGCUUGUCGAAGAGGUUUGUUCCCCUUCCUUUGGUGGCGAUGUUACUUCCUGGAUGAAACACACUUCUCCACACGUUGUCCUUACGCGCCGAUCCUGGUGUCGUCGGAGUCCCGGGACUUCCCGCAACUGCCGCCACAGUUUUGCUACUGCUCCCUUCUCCUACACCUUCCAAAACCAUCACGUAAUUAAUUAUGAGAUCAUACGUUUAUACAAAUAUGGGACGUAUGCUUGACAAAGAAAAAACAAAUACCUUUGAUGUCAAGGGGUUGGGCGGUGAUCUUAUUGCGGAGGCGGCCAAGGCCAUGCUCCGGCUUAGGUCCGGCUACAGUUUCAUCCCACAUCUUUUUUUUUUAAUCUUCUCUUCUGUAUUGUUUGGGGUUGAUUUUGGAUAGAAUUGUAUCAAGUGUGAAGUAAUUUUACUAAAGGGCUUCUUUCAUCUAAUUUAUAGACUCAUUUUUAAACUAUUCGUAAAAAUAUCUUUUUUCUUUUGUCGCCUAGCUCUCUCAUUAUUUAUUCGACCCAUGAAAUAUCUAGGGACAUAGUAAUAAUAGACAAUACAUUAUUGACAAUUAAAUUGGUAAAGUACCAAAUUAAGUUUAAUAUCUGCACCAACUAGAAUUUUCGUUACCGUGACCCAAAAGAAAAAAAAAAACUAGAAUUUUCGUUAAACACUCUGAUAAAAAUUCAUACGUUUAGACAAAUGUUAUUAUUCUCUGUCAUAAAAUAACAUUACAUGAUACAAUUGUAAAUACUAAAUAGUGUGUUAUUUAUAUUUAUUAAUAUGUCAUGUCAUUUUAUGUCAUUUUACAACAUUUUAAGAUAACAUGCAACUUCCAGAGUUUAGAGUUAAUAAUACACACCAUCUUUGCAAAUUAGGAUGCGGAUAAGCCAAUUUUUAAAUGACCUUACUAUAUAACAUUAAUGUUAUAAUAUAGAUCAAACCAUGAGCAUCAGAAGAGUGAGCAAUGAGGGAGAGGUGUGGAAAUAAAAAAAUGCAAGGUGGAUAGAGAUGAAGAUAUGGAUAAGGACGAAGAGUGGUAGGGACCUUUAAAUCAAAAGUAUCCUAAGUCUUUUGUGGAAAAGUAUUAUAUGAACAACAAACAUAUUUUUAUUAUUUUGUAAGGUAAAAUAUAUAUUAAGCAACAGUAUCUAAUCAAAGUGUUUUCCACAAACCCACCACAUAUAUUAACAAGUUCAUGCUGUCCUAAUGAUCACCAGUCCAAAUGAUGCACCAAAAAUGUUUGAACAAGAUAAAACUGAUUCCAAAACUGUAAACAAAAUUUUUGCAUUUUAUCCUAAACCAAAACACAGUGCUUGAAUAUCUUAUAUUAUGACAAAAAAAACAGAGAACAUUAAAAAAAAAACAGAAAACUAACUUCUAAAUUGAAAAAUCUUGAUUUUCACAAAGCUUAUUACUUAACGAAUAGUUAGGAAACGUACCUCAACAUUAUUCCAUUUCUUUCUCUUUUCCCCUUCAUCUGCUUCCAAAGCAACCAUUCUUUAUCACAUCACUUCUAAAGAUUACAAUCUAAAUCAUAUUUCAAAUGGUAAAAAAAACUGUUUUUAAGCAUAAAUUAAGCUUUGAAGAGUUUUACAAUGUGUACACAUUUCCUCCACCAAGCUCCAAUUCUAACCUUAUUCCAUUAUUGGAGGAUAGAAUGGAGAUCCAAAGAAUUUAGAUGCUACGUACUAAACCCCUAACUGAGGAAAAGAAGGAUGACAUAAUAUACAGGAAUCUCAUCAAUUUGAGCUCAUCCCACACCAAGUGACAUUUGGUUUGAUAACUCAGGGUUUACCAUACUUUUCGACAUACCCCUGCAAAUGAACAUAAGAAUUGUUAGACUAUGCAAUUGCUUUAAGUGUCUUUUAUUUCCAGCUAAGAAACUCACCUCAACAAGCUUCACAAUUCUGGUUGCAGACAAACCAAGAUAUUGAUCAACUGAUUCGGUGUCAGUUGGCACCUGAUGAAACUGGACAGCGGCGCUGACUACCUUCUCUGCAGCUUUUUUAACUAUCAUGUUAUGCACGUCUUUGGUAAGACGGCCCUCGCGCCACAACGGUUUCAACAUUUCUUUAACGGUUUCCACAACUGCAGUCCGGAAUUGUCUCAUUACUUUCAUCCCUGCAUCUGACCUCACUUCACCAUCUAUCUCAUCUGAUUUCAUUGUCUUUUUAUAUGAAGACCCAUCACUUCUAUGCCAAGAAUCAUGCCCCGCAGGUUUGCUUCUUUUCAAAACAACUCUAUUCUCUGCAGCCGCAGCCGAAGAAAUCUCUUUGCUAGGUGUUGUUGCAUCAUUUUGAUCAACCACUGAAGUAGCCACCCCUUCCACUACUCCAUGUGCUUCCAAACUCCUUGUCACAGUUUCUUGGUGUUGGUUUUGACUGCAUGAACUGCUUUUAUCAUCAUUCUUAAUUUCCCGUGCUUGGGGACCACUAGCAGAAUCACCAUCUUUCUGCUGGCGGGAAUUUUUCCGUGCAUGUUCUCCUUUACUUGACAAUGAAGCAUUAAGAGCUCUGUCUCCUCCUAGAUUCUCUAUAUCCGUGAAAGGAUCGUAGAGGGCAUCAGACGAGGGAAGUAUAUAAGGUGGAAUUGUAAAAGAUGCUUUAAAAGGUUCAGAAGGUUCCCAGUCAUCUGAAGAAACUUUCUUUUUAUUGCUAGUAGUGUUGCCUUCUGCGCCUUUAUCAGAAGAAACAGCUAUCCCUUGCAGCGUUGGAAGUGAUCCAGAUCCAGAUAUAUUAUUCCCAUUUUCAAAAUGCCCCACAGUAGAAGCACGCUCAUUCAUAGGAACAGAACUGGAUAAUGAUCCUGUCCAGGCUGGUCCAGAAGAUCCCAUGUCUGUUUUUAGAUAGGAACUGAUAGAAGGUCUAUGCUCAUGAACAAAGCUGCUUCUCAAUGUGAAGGAAUUGCUGUUAUUAAUAACUAGAGACCUAUUGUCAGUGACAUCACCAUAUGUUUGCUUCAAACUUUCUCUUCCUAUGUUUUCAAAUGAAGGCAUAAAGCGCAUCUCGUUACUGACCGGGAAAACUCUCUGAGAACCUGGGGGAUUCACAAAAGACAUGGAGGAGAAAACUCUCUGAGAACCUGGGGGAUUCACGAAAGAUAUAUCAUCUCUGGUAUGCAAAGAUGUCAUGCCGUUUUCGCUUAACUGGGAAACUCUUACACCUUCUUUGCUGUCCAAAAUUCUUCUUUCUGAAUAAACAUACGCAAAAUAAAUUAUUGGUUGAUUCAUGAAGAGAAAUUAAACCCCGGAAGUAUUCACCAACCUCUAUAUUGUGGGAAUUACCUCCAAAUAGGGAUCACUAAUAUCACAAUCUUGAAAAGAAUAACAAUUUCAUGGUACAACAUACCUAGAUCAGACAGGAUACCACCGUUUCCAGCCAUACUAUUUUCGGCCAGUUGUUGACUAAAGCAAUUUGAAUUCUCUUUCACAUGUAGAAACUUGCAGGACACCCCGUUGAAACACCACCCUUUAGCAAAAAACUUGCAGGGAAGAGCUGCACGUUUUUGUUCUGGUUCAUUCCCUUCACCGCCAGGGAAAAAGCUUUUUGGCGGUAUACCCGGAGCAGGAAAUCUGAGAACCGAAUCUGUCAGUAUACAAGCUUCAAACAUAUAAAAUUCAGAAGUUCAACAACCUCCUAACUUAGUUUCAGUAAAACUUGAGCAGAAUUGUUUUGCUAUACCUUGAUAAAGUACCAUUAUAUUGAGCAAAAGCUUGUUCCUUUAUGAUUUUUGAUUGCUCAUCUAAAGGUGUUGUUACAGAAUGCCUCUUCACAUCUACAUGGGACAAGUUAUAAAUCAGGACAUAUUACCCAAACUGCUGCUUUGAAUUAACAAAAGAGAUUCCUACAGAGAUAAGCACAAAACUUUGAGAAAGAUGUUCUGAAACAGUAAUGAAUUAGCCUAGUUCGUAUUAAAGCCACAAUUUUUACAAAAGAGCUUCAGUGAAAAUCUAAUUGCCAAGUCUUUGAACCUCAAAUCAGAGCUAAAUCUAGUCAAUUUAACAAUUCUCUCUUUCUUCUAGAACAAAAUUCAUCUAUUCCAAUUUGGAAGAGGUGUUUCUAUCAAUAAAAACACAAACUUUGACACAAUUAAUCAACAACACCAUGUAACCAAUCACGAAUUCAAAUACUAACCGCUCUGGGAAUUGGAAGCUUGAAUUGGUGGUUUAUCAAGCAAUUCAGAUUCUCUUACAAUUGUAUGUACUUGCACCUUUUGUUCGACCUCAUCAUCAUCAAUGUCCAUGUCGGAAUCAGACAUCUUGAAGUCUUCGGCGAGGAAACCAACGCAGAGAGUGGUAAAUUCGUAAAUACUGCGGCGUGAUCGGGGACCGAAGCUCGCUGUUGAGUCCUGAUGAUCUCCGAGAAUACGUUUGGUAUAUCGAAACCACCAUUGAUACAAAGUCCGUACUAUUUCAUAUCUAAUGGGCCUUUCCUAAAUAUUAAAGCUUUAGUCUAAGGCCCAUACUAAAUUUCAAAAUUUACCAAAUAUUUCCUUAAAUUAACACAUCGUUGCCUUUUUAUACUAACCGGAUUAAACCACAACAAAAUUAAGUAGAACCGAAUCAAACCGUAGAAAACGUGAAGCGUAGUGGUGCUAGAUUGCACGUUAACUUUCUCCAUCACUGUCACUGCUAAACCCUAAGAAUCCUCUGCAAUUUCGCAAUUCUGUGAAGAAGGAAAAAAAAAACCCUAGUAAGCUUCAUCCGCCGCCGGCUAAUAUUGAUGGCGGACCAAUCUUCGGAUAUCGUCAACACUCUGUCGUCGGAGAUGGAGGCUGUUUCCGUUUCAUCAACUCAAGCAUCUUCUUCGUCUGAUGGAUUACAGUGAGUUUUCUUACCAAUCAUCAAUUUCUCAGUUUCGCGCUUCAAUUUGAUUUGGGUUGGAUUAUUUGAUUAGAAGUAUGGGAUUUGAAAUUGAAAAGCCAGUGCAUUGUUUAUCUGCUGAUUGGUCUGGUGGAUAUUGAAAUUUUACUAAUUUUUUCAGGAUGAGUGAAGAAGUUGAGAAGAGAUACAAAAUUGUUAGGAGCAUCGGUGAGGAAUGUAUACAAGAGGAAGAGCUAAAGAAUCUUCUUGCUAAGAAGGCUGCUCCGAUUUGCUACGACGGCUUUGAACCAUCAGGAAGAAUGCACAUUGCUCAGGUCAGUUUUUUUUAUUAACUUUAGUUUUCAUUUGUUCUAUUACUAUAUGUGGGAAGCUUUGGCUAAUCUGAUUUGGUUCUGUUGUUUACCUAAUAGGGAGUGAUGAAAGUCAUCAAUGUGAACAAAAUGACUUCAGCUGGUUGCAGAGUGAAGAUUUGGAUUGCUGAUUGGUUUGCUCAGUUGAACAAUAAAAUGGGAGGUGACUUGAAGAAAAUUAGAGUGGUUGGAGAAUAUUUUCAAGAGAUUUGGAAGGCUGCUGGGAUGGACAAUGAUAAAGUGGAGUUUUUGUGGUCUUCUGAAGAAAUCAAUUCUAAGGCGGAUAAGUAUUGGCCUCUUGUGAUGGACAUUGCUCGCAAAAACAAGUUGCCUAGGAUCUUAAGGUUACUUUCUUUUAUUCUUCUCCAUUCUUGGGACAUUGUUUUUAUGUGAGGGAUAUGAUGGAACCUGAAUGAGUCUGUUUCUUUACCUUUCAGGUGUGUGCAGAUUAUGGGACGUAGUGAGACCGAUGAACUGAGUGCUGCCCAGAUCCUUUACCCAUGCAUGCAAUGUGCAGAUAUUUUUUUCCUUGAGGUACUGUUAAGGCUUCGUUUGCUUAUGAACUGUCUUUGAUUCUGUUGCUAGUUACUUGGAAUCAAAUGUUUAGCUUUAGCGUUACAUCAGCAGAAAGUCUAUUACAUUGUUGACAAACCACCGGAUAAAAGCUCCAGGCUAGAAAAAACAGUACAUGAUUGCAGAUUUUGUCGAUGUCUUUAGUUAGUUUUUACUCAAUGUAAUGGUCAUUAUGUGUAUCUGGCUUAUGAGUUCUGUGACUAUGGUUAAAACAUUUGCUUUACAUCUGUAGGCUGAUAUUUGCCAGCUUGGGAUGGAUCAAAGAAAAGUAAACGUGCUAGCGAGAGAAUACUGUGAUGACAUAAAGAGGAAAAACAAACCGAUAAUCUUGUCACACCGUAUGCUCUGCAUUUUCCUAUUUGACUUCUGUUUAUACCACGUUUUAACUGGUCCAGCGUUGUUAAUCAUAUUUUAGCUGUAACUACUUACAGAUAUGCUUCCUGGUCUACAACAAGGACAAGAAAAAAUGUCCAAAAGUGAUCCAUUAUCUGCCAUCUUUAUGGAAGAUGAGGAGGUAACUUGGCCACUUUUUAUAGUUUACAAAAGUAGAGAAGAAUUUUUACAGUUAUUAACUAGUUUUGAAUGUUUUGUCAUCCUCAGGCUGAAGUUAAUGUAAAGAUCAAGAAAGCUUACUGUCCUCCAAAAAUUGUGCAAGGCAAUCCAUGCCUUGAAUACAUUAAAUACAUCAUUCUACCGUGGUUUGAUGAGUUCACAGUUGAGCGAAAUGAAGAAUAUGGCGGUAACAAGUGAGUUCUUGCUCUUUUUCUUUUACAUCCGGAGUUUCUUGCUCAGUUUGUGGAUUAGAAUCCAAUAAGGAUUACUGUAAUCGUAUUACAUACAUGUCGCUACAUCCUGCUGUUGAAACUCUACCAAAUGUUAGGACCUACAAAAGCUUUGAAGAGAUUGCUGCUGAAUAUGAGAGCGGAGAGUUGCACCCUGGGGAUCUAAAGAAAGGCCUGAUGAAUGCGUUGAAUAAGAUCUUGCAAGUAAGUAAAACUUUCAUUAUGUUAGAGCUUCACGUCCCUAAUGAUUGAUACUAGAAAAAAAGAUAGAAACAAUUAUUCGGGAAACCGUUUUAGUAGUUUUGGAUUCUACAACAGAAUCAUUAACCUCCUUAACAAUAUCGCAGCCUGUUCGUGAUCACUUCAAAACAGACGCACGGGCCAAGAAUCUGCUCAAACAGAUCAAGGUAACAAAAAUAUAAUAUUUUUCCGGUUAUGCUAAUCAUACUCCUUAAGAAAUCUCUCACACUCCUUUGGUUUUGUAUUGUGUAGGCUUACAGAGUCACCAGAUAAAAUUACAGAGCCAGAAUGUGUCAUUGUUUGGACAAAGCUUUCUCUCACUUUAUGAAAGCUAUUAUUACCAAAACACACUGUAAAACUCCUGGAGUUUGUUUAUUUGGUAUAUCAGAUGCUACUUACUACAAUUACCAAUGUUUGUGGUCAAUAAAAUACAUUCUUUUAUGAUAAUCGUGUCGAUAUUUCUGCUACAAAAUAUUUUUUUUAUUUUGAAAGAAACUUUAGUGACACAAACAUUAUCAGAAAAAGAUUAUUUGAGAAAUUCAACGUUUAAUCUCAGAAACUCAAUAAUUUGUUUACUUUGGUCUUAGAUUGACGUGGCUGCCUCAAACUUUUAUCUUUUCCUUUGUAGAAAAAAAAAAAGGAGCUCCUUAAAUUCCACUAAAAAGAACCAUCAGAAGAAGAAGACUCACAAGUCUUUUAAUCUAGGGCUUUCUUCUAGAGAUCGAAGAAGAAUUCACAUACCGAGAUUUUCUCCAGUCCCAAUGGCGUCAAACACCAGCAACGACAAUUUCCAACAUAGACCACGGCAAAGAAACGGACCACCUCCACCGCGGCGUCAGGGAAGAAAUCCACCGCCUCCGUCAUCGUCAACGCGAACUUCUCAGAAUCAGCCACAACAACAGACGCCGCAAGAGAAGAAGAAACCAGUGUUCGUGAAGGUAGAUCAGCUUAAACCAGGAACAAGCGGCCACACUUUGACCGUUAAAGUCGUCGAUCAGAAUUCCGUUCCUCAAAAGCCUGGAGCUGCUUCUUCUCACAUCCGACCUGCUCGGAUCUCUGAGUGUCUCGUUGGAGAUGAGACUGCUUGCAUCCUCUUCACUGCUCGCAACGAUCAAGGUGAGUUAAUCCGAUUCCGUGUGUUAAUUUCUGUUUUUGAAUUAUCUCUCGAAGAGCCUUAACGAUCCUGUGGAGUUUCUUAGUCUGUUGGAAUCUGGACUGUAAUUUCAUCUCUCAAUCGCUGAUAAAAGAUUUGAUCACAUUCCAAAUUUGUUCAUAGAUAGAAGAUUUGAUGCUUUUAAAUCGUCAUUUUAGCUUCAAAACAGUGUAGAUACUUGAAGCUUCUCUACUGGAACUGGCAUUGAUCUGAUGUUUUCUACAAUUAUAGAUUUUGUUGAUUAAAGACAGGAUCUACUCAGCUCUGAUAUUCAAUUGGUGAUUCAUAGUGGAUCACUUAGCUUUUUGGGGGCUAAUACAAGUCUUUCUUGGUUUUUCUUUUGUGGGUUCAGUGGACUUGAUGAAACCAGGAGCUAGUGUGAAUCUUCGGAAUGCAAAGAUAGAUAUGUUCAAGGGAUCAAUGAGGCUUGCUGUUGACAAAUGGGGUCGCAUCGAGGUCACUGAACCUGCUGACAUUACUGUUAAAGAGGAUAACAAUUUGUCCCUAGUGGAGUAUGAGCUCGUCAAUGUCGUUGAGGAAUGAUCUCUGGCCCCAUGUCUCUAAUAGGUGAUAUAUCAAGCGCCACAAUGAAUUUUGUUUUGGGGUGAACACCGUGCGGGUUAAAUAUAUUUAUCUUAUGACGUUGCAAGUUUGCUAUAUUUAUCUACCGGUUGAUUUGUGUUGAUCUCGGGUUUGGUAUUAUCGGUAUGUACGCUUUCAGCUGUGGAUGCUUUUGUAUGGUCCUUGAAGAGAAGGUUAAUGAAAAAAUUGGUGAAAAGUUUUGUGUCCAAAAUAUGUCUUGCAAUUCCAAUACCCAUUUUUGAUAUAAGUUAAGUUCUGAAAUUUUGAUUGUGCAACACCCACCAAAAAAACGAAGAUCGAGUUGGGGUUUAAGUUGUCAGAUUUUGUUAACAAGUAAUAACUGUUACUGAACCGGUUGGUCAUGCAUGAAUAUAAGACGAAUCUUAUGACCUAAGACGAAACAUGACACGACUACCGUCACUUCAUCACCUUGCUUCGAACUGCAUCCAUUCUUGCACUCUUCAUUUGAGAUUCAUCAUGCAUCAUCAAUGCAAUCUGAGCAAAUAGAACAUCAUAUCAGUAUCCAGAAAACAUAAGCUCAUGUGAUAAGAGGGAGCAAAGAGUGUUGCAGGAUUCAUGAAAGUUUCUAUUAUUCAUGUGAAACACUAUCAUAAUCUAAAACACUACAGGGCAUAAUGCACACAUUAAGAUUUUCCCCUUUUUAUAUAUAAGACUUAACUCCAAGAAGAACACAUGAUAAAAAUAGCUUACACCACUCUAGAUCAUUCUCCUUUUUAUCAACUUGACAAAAGAAAAAGUUGAGAUUCUCAUUACAUGCAAGACAUUUGAAAUCUGGUUCAAGAUUUGUCGAAUCAUGACACAGGUAAGGCUGUGAUUUAGUCACUUAAUUGUAAACAAGGCUCCACCUAAACAAGAGAGAGCCUAACAGAACUAGUAAACCAAGCGGGCAAUCAAUGGCAGAGAAUUACAGAAUUAACUGAAAUUCAUCAAUCUAUAGAAAGAAACCUCCAUUUAUAACUGCACAUAACCUUUUAAGACCAACACAACAACCUUCAAAAGUAACAUACCAACUUAUACACCUAAUGGACACAAACCUUACGACUAGAGAUAGAUACGCAAGCAUAUGAUGGAUAAACAGGAAGAACAACAAAUUGAAGGAUACAGUUAUCUUCAACAACAAGUUUCACCAAAACAGCUACUUAGGUAUCAAAUCACGAGAAAAUGAAACAAAAUUGGCUAAGACAUUAAAGUCUUUGCCUUCUCCUUCGAAGUACCUUGGAGAGUCCAAAUGGAGCGCCCUGAAACUGAGAGCAUCGAAUUGAGCAAAGCAGAAGCAGUGGCCGUGUGGUACGGAAGCAUCGUCUCGACGCAGCAGCUCAAUUCCACCGGAGACCUUUAACACAUUUCACAAUGGAUAAUCAAAUUUGAGUUAAUCGAUGUUUCGGAGGUUCGCUCUAUGUUUACCUGAAAAUGCGGUGAGAGAGAGGGCUCUGUUUAGGCAACUUAAACGAAGACCGCGCAGAAUACGGCGUAGGUUUCGUCGACCUCAAUGCGGCAACGACGGCUCGGCUAACACCGGAACGGAGGACGGAUCUGGCGGUGGACAUGGAAAGUUUCCGAUUCUCGUUGGAUUUGGGAUUUAGGGUUUUUUCUGGGUUUAGGGAUUUUGUUUGGGUCAAAGAAAAUCUGUUGAGCUGUUGACUUUUCGUACUGGAACUUUUAGAAGUCGUGACACGUUCAACACCUUUUUUUUUUUUAAGAGAAUUUUAAUCAAAAGAAUAAUUUGUUCAAAUAUUAAUAUGGAAUCUAAUUUUUAGAGAGUCGAUAUGUCAUAAAUUCUAUACAAAUCUGUAGUUGGUGGCCACCAUGGUUUUCACUAUGUGUUGAUUAAAGGUUCUAUCGCAGUCGCAGAUUCGCAAACUAAUUGUUGACUAAUCGAUAUUAGUUCUUAUAUUUCUUGUACAUGAUGCAAAAGAUUAAUUUUGCUUAAUCGUGUUUAUUCUUUUUGUUUUUUAAUCUCUAUAUAAAUUAAGAAGAAUAGAGAUUGAAUGAACCAUCAUCAGAACAUUAGCAUAACAAGCAUCACCAUAUCUAUAAUAUUUUUAUUUUUUCCAAAUUUUAUAUGCAAACAAUUAGACUUUUGACAGAUAAUUAAACCAUUUGAAACAAAAAUCGAAAACAUAAAAGCAAAUACUUAUUUUUGUUUCAUGUGGGCAUGCUCAUGGAGUGAACUCAUCUCCUUGCUCUUCCCCGUACAUCUCGGACUGUUGGUUGGAAUCGUAUGGAUUCUUGAAGUUGGAUUUCUUCUCAUUGUAACCGGUUGGCUUGUAGUUGUAGUAAUGAUUCUGGUAGAAACGGCCGUGGUUUCUGUCGUCAUCAAGGUCGUAGUAGUACUUACCAUUCGCCAUAUACCUCGUAUCGCUCAUGCCUUGUCUCUCUACGUUGUUGUUAUAACCCUUGUACGCCUCCUUCUCUCUCUUCUCCGUCCCGUAAGUAUUAGGGUUUUCGUAGUAGCUCGUGUCCUUGUUGUUAUAACGACCCUUGUACGCCUCCUCUCUCUUAUCCGUCCCGUAAGCAUUUGAGUUUUCGUAGUAGCUCGUGUCUUUGUUGUUGUCGUAAAUCUCGGUAGUCUUAGGAUAGCUCUCUCUGUAGUUUUUGUAAGAUUCUUGCGUUUGGGCCGCUUCGCUUAGGCUUGGGGUGGAGAAAGAGUCGUCGUAGUUAACGUUAUCCUCGUACUUGUUACUGUUCAACUCUUCAUUGUUGUUGUCGGUUGUCUCGUGACCAUACAAGCCGUACCCGUUUUCGGACUGGGGGAUAAAGGCAGGGUUCUGGUCAUCUGGCUCUUUCUUCUCGUUGGUUUGGAUAGGGACAAGAUUGUUAGGGUUUUGCUCUUUGGGAUCUUCUCUUUGGAACUUGCCAAAUGAGUAGCUGUCUCUUGCAUCGAUUUGGGUGGAGAAAAGAACAAGUGUUAAGAAGAAGAAGAGACAUGAGCUAGUGGAAAACCCCAUGGUGAUGUGAGUGUUGUGGGUUUGUGAGAGAGAGUGGGAUUGUUUAUAUAUAGGAAAGGUUUUUUUUCCUUUUGAUUAGUAUAUAGAGUGUAAAUGGUUAGGUGGAAAUAAGGAGUGGAUCGGUGAUAAUGGUUGAUGGCGGGUCUAUUGAGAUGAGAGGAUUUUUUCAAAGAGGUAGCUCGACUUUUUGGGCGCCUAUGUAAUUAUCUUAUCAGAAAAUGGUAACUAAUUAAGCAAAUUUAGAUGAAAUAUUAAUACCUCGUCUUGUGAGUUUUUGUUAAAACACUUAUGGACAAUGAACACGAGUACCAUGCUCUAAAAAAAUGGGGUUGUAGUAUGUAGGUACUGUAGUAGUGUUUAAUUAUAUGCAAGUGAUUCACUUGGCGAAACAUUCUACACGUAAUAACACUAAAAAUAACAAAAAUCAAUGGCUUAAUGAGAUUUUCCCAUCCAAAAAGGGUUAUUCUCCAAUAACACAUGUCUUAUAUAAUACGGAAGAAACAUACCAAAAACAGUAGUGCAAUUUUGUGCAACCAAAAGCUUAGGUAAUCAACAUAUAAACCCAAACAAUUUCAUUUUAUAUGAUAUUUACUGGAUUAGCAAAAAAACAAUAGUGCAAUUUUGUACUAGUUUACUUUGGUACACUCUGCCUUAGUAUAUACAUAAGAGCAUCCGCAACGUGCUUCUCAUAUGUAGCUCUUUAUUAAUUAAGAGACUAAAGAACCCCAUAAGAACUAGUGGCCCCACAAGAACUGGUGUUAUGUCACAUUUUAAUUGGUGGAAAGCAGAUUUAUUAAAAAAAGAAAAAUCUCUUCUUUCUUGAGACUUCUUUCUCUUUUUUUUCUUCUUUCUCAGAUUUAGGGUCGUGUCAUAAGAACCCCAACUUAAUACUCUAUUGUUGGAGAUGGUCUAAGCAAACCUUUUGCAUACCAUAUGGAGUCUUAGUAUGCAUGCAUAGUGCUCUAUUCCAAAGAUAACUAUGAUCCAACGUAUACGUUCUCUCAGUUUAGCUAAGUUUAUAGUGUUUAUUUCCAUGCAUCCAAAAUGUUGAUAAUCAUACCCCUUUUUUUUUGCAAUAGUAGUAACUAACUACAGUUCCUAAUGGAAGAAGAAAUUUAGUUGAAUUAAUGACCAAUAAAAGGCAAUUUGUUUUUUCUUUUUUGUCAACCAAUAAAAAGAAAAUUAGUUGACAAAAAAAAUAGAGGGGGAGUAAGUGAAAUUGCAAUGGCAGGGUAAUAAUGGGAGACGAGAGAUGUUGGGGGUAGCCACUAUAGGGAAACCGUCACACCGAUACCAUACGCUUUCCGAGCCUAAGCAUGCCUCUACGUUUUUUUUUUUUUUUUUUUUCCAAAGUGUUAGGCUUAAAAUACCCAACUGAUUUGCGUCUACUAUUCAUCUUUUUCUUUGUUUAAUGUCUUAGUUAAAAUUAUUACCUGAAAUUUCGAACACAUAACAUUUCACUUAAACUAUACAGUUGCACAUCCACAAAGACCACAACCAAAUCAUAUAACACUACAAGCCAUGAUUUACUAUUGAACAAUCGCUAAAUAUCAUUUGCCCUAUAUUUGGCCAAAGUGAAAGAUUUGUUUAUCAGUUUCUUCUGUUCUUUUAAUAUACCGGAUUUAAGAAGAUUGGUCUGAUUCUCACUAACAUCGAGUAAUGCUGAUCCAUAAAUAGGCGAACAUAGCUCGUUCGUAAUUCUUAAAUAUUUUACCUAAAACAAAUAAAUGCAUUAAGAAAUUUCAAGCAACAUUGACUAAUGUGAGUAUGGGAGAGUUGGUACUUUCUCCUUUUCAGACAAUAUUAAGAUAGAUCUCAACUGCCGAAAAAUAAAACGAAUAAACGGCUCCACAAAUCUUUUAGGUAGAAAAUAAAGCAAGAUUAUUGAUUAAAAAGUUUGAUUUGGUUAUGAUUAGACCCACAAACCAUACAAGCGCGCAAAGGUUGAUUAACCACAUUCGUUAGAUUUGUCAAAGUACACUGAGGGUGGCAUAACUUGCAGUUGGAACUAACUAAUGAGGUCGGUGGGUUUAAGAGAUAGUAAAUGAUAGAGAAGCGACUACAAAGCACUGAUUCUCGCAACAUUGCAUAAUUAUUGAUACAUCCAUCAAUUAAACAUUGCAUAAUUAUGCCACUACACGUUGGUACAUGUAUAUGAAGAUUAGCACGUCAAAUCUAUGGUGCAAAAAGGACAACCAUGUACACUAAUUACUGUUGGUGUAUUCAAACAUGUGAUGAGAAGUUUUACAAAUACAAGUUUGAACUUCAUUUAUAUGGGAUCUAAAAUCGGGAGUUUUCUAUUUUUUUUUUGUAGAGACAGGAAGCACUCACAAACACUAGAUUCACCAUAUGCGUCCAUGCACACUCUUUAUUAGUCUGCUUGGUAAUCAUCCUCAUAGAUCAUUUUAGUUCUUUUACUUGAUCAUUUCCCAUUAUUUUCCGUUAAAAUUUCAGUUGUUAUGCUAAUUAGCUAACCUACAAUACCAUUAUCAAUAUUUCUCUGUCAUAUUUUAUUAACCUUAAGAUUUCACCAUUACCAUUUAAACCUACAAUCCAAAAGAAAUAUUAAUCCAUUCCAUCCAAAAAAAUAGCACCACUCGACAACAUACUAUUCUCAAGAUAUAUUUGCAGUUGUCCUUCAUCUUCAACAUCAAAUCUGGAAAGAACAAUCGAAAUCGUCAUCACUUCAUCUAACUUCUAUAGCUUCACCAGGCCCGGCCCUAUGGUAAAGCAGAUGAAGCAUUGGCUUUAGGCCACAUUAUAUUUAAACAAUUAUAAGGCCACAUUUAACUAAAAUGGUCGUGCACUUAGGUAAUAGUCACCAGCCAAGUUCGAAACAUAUUAGUUAGACAUGUCUUUUUUUUUUUUGGACAAAUUGAUUUUUUUGGACAAAGUUAGACAGCUCAUUUUCUGUCUUUACAUCACUUUACUUUGUUUUAUAUUACAUAUGUGGCCCUUAUUAUUAUUUCUUCUACAAUAACUUUCUUUUUUCUAACUCCUAACAUUCUAAAUUUAUUGCUGUCAAAAAAAAAAAAAAAAAUCUAAAUUUCUUAAAUAUUUUCUCAAAAACCUAUAAUAAUAUUACAAAACUUGGAAGAAUUCUCCACAUCUGUUUAUAUCAAGAUUUUAUAAUUGUUAGCUAAUUAGAUAUAACUAAAAUAAAAAAAAAUUUGAACCAUAUGAGGUAUUAAAUAAUUUCUCUCAUAUUUUUAAAAGUAUAUUUUGUUAAAAUAUAGGUUUGAACAUAUUCUCUGAAAAAAAAAAUUUAGAUCUUAUCAUUUUCAAAAAAAUUCAUUUUACUUUGUAUACAAUGUAACUAAUAUUAAAAAUAUAUAAAGUUAAAUAUAAAUAAAUUUGGUACCUUAAAUAUUAAGGCCACAUUUUUAAAAAUGUUUUAGGCCUCUAUAAGUUUAAGACCGGCCCUGAGCUUCACCACUUUGGUUGAGUGGAUGGACCAAAUUCUUGUUUGUAGAUUAUACUUCCAUGUUUUAAUUUUUGUCACGGGACCAUUUAUGUAGGUCUAUAAUUAUCGAUUGUAAAUCUAAAGCGUUUUCAUUUUUAUGAAAAUUUUACAUUCUUAACCAAAAUAUAUAUAUACUACCACCAAUCAAAGUCAUUUAUUGUUGUUUGCGACAAAUUUGACAAACAUCACCACCGAACCUUUUAAAGUUUAAACAAGGACAAAGAAACAAAUCCCAUAACUCUCUCUAGUUGGGUUUCUUAAAUGGUAAAUGUGACAAAUGUUGCUACUUAUCCAAACGGAAAACCCUUGAAACCAAACCGGGUAAAAUCAAACCAAAUAAGAAAACCAUACAUAUUACCGGUUCGAUAGGGCCGGUUAUUUAAUUGAGUUUAUGUCUCCUCUUCUUCUUCAAUCAAAAAACACACAAGUUGCUUACUCAGGAAGAGGAUCCCAUAACAAGAGCGUAAACAAAAGCAAAUUCGGAACUAAAAGAGGAAUAUAUGGAUUUACUUCAUUCACCAGUUUCUUCCUCGUCAACCUCUUCCUCGCAUACUCUCUCCUCUCUUCUCUCCCCCAUUUCCCUUCCUCAAGUCCGACGGCCAUAACCGCCGCCGGCGGCUGAUAAUACGGACAAUUCGACCUCCAAGAAGUAUCAGGAAGUCCGAAUCUUGAUACCCUUUUGAAGAAUUGAGAAACCCACCAUUGACGGAGAUGCGUCGGCGAAUAUAUCGGAGGGUAAUCCCACGAGAUGUAGCUUGGAAUUAGGGCUCCGAUGAAGAAUUGGGAGUGAAGUGAUGGUUUCGUUGUCGGGUUUGUGAGUAUGUGUGUCACCGCUUGUAAUCUCUGUUCCCAUGUCGUCUCCUCCAUUGGCUUGGAUUACGUUUUCUGUUAGUGGCAGAUAGAGAGAUAACGAUGCCGGACUCCUUUACGGUUAAAUUGGAAUUACGAAUUGAACCGGAAAUAACCGGUAUUGUGCAAUUUAAAAAAGUGCAAAUACUUUUUUAAAUUAUAAACCUAAUAAAAACCAUCCUUGCAACGAAAGUGAACACCAAGUCAUAAUCAUAAUAAAUCAACUAAAAACAAGAACUUUACUUAUGUCACAAGCAAAUAAAACACACAGAAACCAAAGAACCCUAGAGAGCAAUGUCUAGUAACAUGUCUCUCAUUGCAUAGAUGUCCCUUCCUUGCGAAUGAUGAUGAUUGCUUUGAACAGCUGAGGCACCUUUUAUGGAAUUCCCUUCAACACAUGGGACAACUGUCGCAGAUGCAACCGCUGUGGUUUCGUUGGUUAACGGGAAACCAAACAGCCUGCACCUGCCUGGGCCUCCGUGAUGAUCCUCUAGACGUCCGUUAGGACUGUUUGAGUUGGUUAUUAAGACGGAAGAGGGUGAUGAUGACACAGAUGGGGGGAGGAUACGUGUACUAAAGUUCUGGAACGGCCCACACCAAAUGUUCCUCUGGCUCAACCCGUGCUGCGGAUGAUCGGUUAUUGCGUAAGCGGGUACUGUUUCUUGACCUUGCAAGACCUUAUGGAACCCAUAAGAGUCACCAAAUUCUGUUCCUUUGAAGCGGCCUCUCCUGGCACCGGCUCCACCAUCCGAACAAGUGUUGAUAAAACCCGGAAAAAUUUCUUGACCUUGCAAGACCCUCUGGAAUCUCAAAGAUUCCUCAAAGUCUGUGGCGCGAAUCCCCUCUGAAACAGUAGCAGAAAACAAUGAAAACAUAAGACUAGGCAAGAGAAGAUUAUGUAAGCAGUAGGAUGUGUUUUGGCAAGUAGAUAUGUACCAGAGACAGGAAUGUCAGGCUUUCCUGAGGAAAAGCCAAUCCUGCUUCUCUUGGGACCAGUUGUUACGAAGCUGCCUGAAUUGGAGAUUGAACCAGAUGGUUCGAUCUCCCAUGGUGAGACACGCUGUUGAUGCCCGUUUGCCUCAAUGUCAUCCCACCUUACCUGAAUAUGACGUCAAAACACAGUUUCAGUGCUAGCACCAAGCUUAUGGGAUAUUUAUAAAACAAGCAACAAUCUAAUAGGUGACCUCUCAAACCAAGCUAGUGACUUUUUAAAAUAUCAUAAUUCAUAGCUUACCAAAAGGCAUCUCCAUUUUGAACCAGGCCACCUGAUAGGAUCCAAGUCGCUGAUUCCAGUUAUAAUCCCAGGGGAUCUGACAACACAGGCGAAACAUUUUAGAAAGAUGGGCAUAUAAAGGUGUGGCAAGGUUAGUUUAAAGCUUGAAUUAUAAGUCACCUUCUCUCAGAGGCAUCUUCAGACUCAACCCUCGCUUUAAAUCUCAUACCAAUGCAAAAUGGAUAGUCAACAAUCUUCAAGAACUUUGGUGCAGGGAUUAUGAAGUUUGACCAGCUUGCCCUGAAAACGUUUUACCAAAUGCAAUUCCAGUGAACAUUAAUGCUAAAUUCUUAGGAGGCAUUUCUUGGAUGUUACUGAAACUUGGUUCUAAACAAGCUUCUAAGGAACAAUUAAAAAGAACAAUACACAACUUAAGGCCUCGGGAGAUACCAAUUGGGAGAUGCCAAUUAUGAUUCUGAAAUGAAAUUUUAAAGUCAUUGUGGUUGGAGCUUACUUGGGGUUGUAGUAAAUGCUGUUGUAGUAAAUGCUGAAAACACUAUGGGUCGAUAUGGCAUGAGCUACUUCAGCGAAAUUGUUGUGGUUCAUAUUCUGAGAGCAGCGGUGCCUUCGAUUUGAGAAGCUCUUCUAACUCCCAGUCGCAGUUUGCCAUCAUCACCUCUAUAUCAGGGAAACCCAUAUAUCACCUCUUACAGGAUAUCAAAGAGGUUAUGUAGUGAGAAAACAUUGAAGCUUUUUUUACUACCUAAGGAAAAGCACAGCAUCUCCAGAGACAAGCUUCUUCUUGUUCACAAAUGCACUCCACCCGGUAGUGAGCAAAUGCCUCCUAGGUUGCCCUAAAAGACACUCAAACCAUUCAAAAUUUCCAUCUCCUACCUCAAUGCGAGCAAAAGAAACAUAAGGCAACAAACGUACCUCGAUAAAUGUGGCGAAAUCGCCACUCCAAGCCAUGAAGAUCCCUAGCAAGAAGUUCCUGAGAAGGCCGGGGCUGGCUAUAGUCCUACAUAACAAAAUGACUAUGCACUUAAAUCUCUCACUAUGAGCUAAUAAAAGAACAACUAGAACACAAUGUGCAAUGUACAAAGCUGACUAGUCUUACAACAGAAUCUAAAGAGAGUGGAUUAGUACCAGAGGAGGGAAGCAAUCCUCAGCAGCUCGGCGAGGAACAGAGAAGCCACCAUGGGUACUUGUAUCAGAAGCAGUAAGAGUUUUGCAAAACAUGUGAGGAGUAUUUGACCUCUUAAGCACUUCAUAAUCUUCCUCUCCACCAUCCACAUCAAUUAUUCCCUCACGCACCUUCCGCUCAAUGUCCUGUAACAAUCAACUCAAAAUCUCUAAGCUCAACCAAUUAUGCUUUUUUCCUGUUCCGCGACUCGAGAGCUAAAGAAAAACACUCACCUCGGACUCAGGAAGAAGAGAGACUUGAGCAUAAACCUCAUCUGUAGUCGUCUCUGCCUACGAAAUCAAAAUCCCCCACAUUUUGUUUAUUAAUCCUCAUAACAAAAACCUUUUAAAGGAUUUCCCAAUGUUCUGUAAUCAAUUGCCAUCAAAAUGAAGCAAAAGGAGAAACUUUGAAAUCAAAUUCAUAAGCACCAAACAAAAAAAAAUGCAGACAAUUUUUGGGGUUUUCAAGUGUUCGUCAUCAAAAUGCCACAAGAAGAAAUGCAAAUGGAGCAAAAGAGGAAACUUUUCAGUUUCUCCCAACAUAAAUUCGUUUGUCUCAAACAAUUGAAUAAACCAAAGGCACAAAUCUCCAUACCUGUAUCGAAAAACCCAACUCAGAUUCACCAAACAGAAAAAAAAAAUCAAAGAAUCAGAUAAACAAAACAAAACCCAUAACUCUGCUUUGAGAGCAGAGAAGAAAACAUAAAUGUAGAAAACAAAACCAAAAAAAUAGAAAGAAAGAAAGAGAGAGUUAGUUACAUACGUGAAGCUUAACAUCGAGAAUACGACAGAACACGUGAGGAGGUAGCCCGUAAAUAGCGGCGGAGAAAUCGGGGGCUUGUUCCAAAUGUCCCUGAGGGAAAUACAACACAAGGCUUCCUCUUUUUGGUAGAGAGAUAAGGGGUCCAGCACAAGCAUGCCACAGCUCCAAACAAACCCCUCCUCCACCAGAGCUCGAAGACACCACAGACGCAGACGCUGCUGAAGAAGACGAAGUCGGCGAGACAGACCCAGACGGCGUUUGCGUUUGUGUUUCGUCUUCCUCCGUCUCCAUCACGUUCAGAUCGAUUAAACCACCCAUUAAAGAGAGAAAAACAGAGAUAAAGAUAAGAGAUUUAUUCUUCUUAUAACAAAAAAAAAAUUCAGAGGAGUUUCUUCAUGACUUUUACCCUCUCAGCCAAAAGAGGAGAGAGUAGUAGCACAGUGAUGAGUGAGUCUUAAAGCCGUGGAGAAAAAAAAAAAAAAAGGGUUUUCUAUAUUAAACCAAGAAAUUAAAGAAAAGAAACUAAAAAAAGUUUUGAUUUAAAGAGAGAGGAGAGAGAAGAGGUAUCAGAGAAACAGAACAGUACUGAGUGCUCUCUGCAGCAGUGAGGCUCUCUGCUACGUCUGGUGACUGAUGUGUGUGGUGUGGCUUUUAGACCUUUUGUGCGUGGAGAGAGACAUUAGAUGGGAUUAGAUUUUUGAAUAGAUUGAUUUUGCUUUUUUAUUUUUAUUAUUAUCUUUUACACAACAGUUUCUUUGCAAAAUGUUGUUGAUGAUAUACUAUUGGAGUUUACUGAAAUUAUUAUUGUUAUAAGUAUUAUUAUGGUUAUUAAUCAUUUAUAUUAUAAGAUCUACAAGAAUAAUUUCUUCUCUGUCGUCUCUUUGAAUCAUUUUUAUUGUUAUGAUUACUGGUGGCAUACUUUUAGGGAUUGAUGCACAUUAGUGAAAUAGUUUAAUAAAUUAUUUAUCCAUUAUUAUAUGAGUAGUUCAUGUGUUUUUGUGUUUGUGGUGUAGAUUUGGAUUACCGUUAUAUUCUACUCUGUUUUUUUUUAAUAUUUCUCGUGAUUAUAAAGUACAUUGGGGGGAUUGUUUUCUUUCAAGCCUUUGUGAUGAAUUAUCAUGUGUUAAUUGCUGUUAUCCAAAUUUGGAACUAAUUAGAUGGAUUUUUAAAAAAUUUAGAAGAUCAUGACAUUAGUAUAUGUCCAUAUAUAUAUAUAUAUUGGUUUGUGCUAAUGGUAUCGAUCUAUCAUCAUAGUAAAAUAACUAAUAUGAUCUAUCCAUAAUCAUCAUCAUCAUCUAAUCACAUUGUUCCCAGUCGAUUACAUUAGUCAUGGUCGACCACAUUGUUUUUUUCCUCAUUUCUCUUGUUGUGUUAUUUCUAUGCGAAAAAAUAUUAGUUUACUAAAUUUGUCAUAACUUUUAAACUGAUUGUUGGAAAGUUGGAAUGAUUUGAUACUGUUUUGUUACCAUGUGUCAAAAUUUGAAAUUGAUUCAAAUGUGGGAAAACUUCCUUCCAAUAUCUAUAAUCUUUUAAAUGUUACUACAUGAUUGUGAAUAAUUAUUUUGCUUGUUUGCAUUUAAACGAGGUACUUUUUUUUUUUGAUAUUUUUUUUUUCUCUCCUUUUUUUUUAAGUUAAAAGUUAGAAAGAUUCAAACUAACAAAACCACAUUAUAAAGACUAACGAGGACUAAAUUUGUAACAAAUAACGUCAUGUAAUCUAUUUAUGCAGUGACAAAUUUGAUUUGUGAGCUAAAUGUAAUUUUUCUAAACAAAAAAAGUUAAGGCAAGAAGGAAACACUAAAGAGAGAUUUGUGCAUGAACCUAUUAUCAACGGCGAAUAAAUUGAUGGAUACACAAGUCAUCCGAAUUUCUAAAUCAACCUACCUAAUGCAUGGGCUAUUGUAAAAACAGGAAGAAUUAUUGCAUAAGUACAAAGUAGGGUCCACUAACGGUAGGACAUAUUGAGAGAAACAAAUGGUAGAGAUUAUAUAUGUUUUUGGUAAGAUGAGGUUUCGAAAAUUCUUAUAAUUAUGUCUACCCAGAUAAGGAACUAACCUAAUCAUACCACAUUUUGAAUUAUAUUAGAUCUUAAUACACAUGCAAACAAAAAAUUGUUCUUCUUGACCUAGUACAUCGUUCACUCCGGUCCUUUCAGUUCUAUGCAAAAUUAGAUCGAUUUACACAUGAACUAGAGAUGAUAUGAAAGAAUUGCAAUGUUUUUUCUUUAAUUGUGUUUGAUGAUCCGUGAUAUUUUAUACGCAAACUCAUAAAUUGAAAUUUAUUUUCACAUGACGAUAGUUAGGAAAUAGUUUUUAUCGAAAAAAAACUAUGGUUUGUGUAACAUUAAAUCUCUUUUAUGAUAAAUUUAGUCUUUUAAUAAAUAAGACUAUUUGUGUAACCUAUUGUAUUGAAUGGAAACUGAAUAAUCUAAUUGAUUAAAAACUUAUGAAAUCUAUAAAUAUAGUUUGAUCAUCGGAAGUGCAUAGUGUACGUUGAUUUUUCCAACGGCAUCAAAGUAAACGUGAGAUUUGAAAUGUAUUUUUUUCUUUUACUUUUUAGCUUCACAUAUCAAACAUGCAAAUAUCUAUUUUUCUCUGAUAAAUUGUAUUCUUAUAGCGUUUUAAAUCUAAAAUACUAAUCAACUGUUUACUAGUAAAACAUAUCAAACCACAAAUUAUGGUAAGCAAUAUGAAUAUCCUUUUCCAUCAAAACAUUGUAAUUGAAUACUAUAUACGGCUAUGCCCAUCUAAUUAGUACAUAUGUAUAGACAUUUAAACAUAACCAAAGCAAACAUGAAAGGUCUCAUCUCAACAAGAAGCACAAUGUAGCAACCAAGAGAGAACAAUGAAAGUACAAGUAAAUACAAGAAACAUGUAAGGGUAGAAAUGUAAGAUAAAAAGAAUCUGUGAAAAAAGGACAAAUAGAGAAAAAGUGAGAAGACGGUCUUAAAUUGGGAGUGUCAUAAAUUACAAAGAACCCGAGGAUCAGGGGGGACUUUUUUCUCUCUUUCUUUCUUUUUCACAUUUUCAACUUUCAAUUUUCUCUAUAUAUAAAUAAACAAAUUUGUUGUCCCUUAUUUAAUUUUUGGUGAACACGCGAGACAGUGUAGAUGUAGAUAGAUACAGCUAUAGAAGAGAGAGGCAACAACAACAACAAACAAAAGUGGGUUUGAGAUUGGGGCAGGACCCGGACAAAACGGGUUACAAAUCCAAAUACCCAAUUGGUUAAUGCCCCGACAUCUGUUUCCUAUCUUCUUUUGGAAAGUCUCUCGAGCCUCACGCUCUGCCCAUUGCGCGUACUCUUCACUCUCUCUUUUUCUUUGGUCUUCUUUUUACCUGUUUCAGACUCUGUUCACUUACUUCUUCUUCUUCUACUUUUCUUUCUCUCUCUCUCUUUGCAGAAGAACUUAGCCCCACUUUCAUUCAAUGCUUCGCUUUCGUUUUUUUAUUUAUUCGAGGGUCUAACCCGAUUUUUCUCGCCUCCCAAUAUUUAUUUUUUAGAUUGUGAUUGAUAAAACUAUCAAAUACUAGUAUCAACAAGCUACUUUUUCAUUUGAGAAAAUAAUUUACUUUCAACAAAAUAAAAGUGUUAUGAAUGUCACAUAUGUGAUCGACGUUGUACUUGGAGUUGAACAUGCGCAACAUAUAAUUUGAAUGACAAAAUUUGAAACGAAUAAUACAUUUCUAUAAAUGUUUAUAAACAAUUGAAGAAAAGUUUAUAUGUUAAUUUUAUUGUCUAGGGGAAAAAUGAUUCUAUCACUUUUGAAAUAGUAAGAAAGAGAAAAUGAUGUUUGCUACUUUUUUUUUUUUUUUUUAUUGAUGUUUGCUAGUUAUUCAUCACUAUUUGUAAACAUCGUUUAGUUUCGAUGUUUAAAAUCUUGUUUGUUACGAGUUGUUCUCAACUAGAUGCAUUAUGUAAAUUUAAACUUUAAUUUGACAUAACGUCAAUAUUACCAUAAAAUAAAAGAAUGUCCAUUUUGUUAUACAAGAAUUGGAAUGUUGAUAACAACCACCAUUAGUUAAACAGUAAGAAGAUUUAUGAUUAACUAGGUGAGACAUAAUUACAAAUGACAUGACAACAUAGAACGAAAACUGUCCUUAGGCUUUUACAUCACUAUCUUCAGACGUCCCAUUUUAAAAAAGAAAAUGCUAAAACAUAAAUAUAUAGGCGUGUUGAUGCACGCGCUGCAGCAGAAAGUUAGUUUGUUUUCGAAGAGAGUAAAUGAAAAUUUCUUAAGAAGAAACUUUUACUUUUGUGUUUUUGACUGAUUACUAUUUCGGGCCUUUAAAUCCAGCUUUAAUCAGUUAUGUCAGUGCCACCCACCGCACUAAGAUUGAUUCAUAAUUACGUGGUGCGUUUUCAAUAUGAUGCAUUUAUUUAUUUAUUAUGUACUAUUUCAUAAAACCAAACAUUUUAUUUUCUAAUUAAGAGUAUCAUGUUUUGACUUAUAAUUCUUUUGGACUAAUGACCCGAACAUACAAAUUAGUUUCCCUUCCAUCAUCAAGACUUGAUUAUGUGAUUUUUAGAUGUCAUUUUUUAAAAAGUCCCCUAGUGUUUUGAGAUGCAGUACACUGUUAAAACUUCAUUUGUUAUGAAACCAAACAUGCUUUUAUGUGUAAUGGACUUCUUCUCAAGACAAUUUUUAAGUUAGUUAGUGUUUUAGACUAUACUCCUUCCGUUUCAUAAUAUAAAUCGUUUUGGAGAAAAAAUUUUGUUUCAUAAUAUAAGUCGUUUUCAAGUUUCUAUGCACUUUAUAUAUUACUUUAAUAUUUUAUAAUUAUUUAUAUUAUGCAGUCUUUUUUAUGAUUGGCCGAACUUUUUAAAAGUAGAUCUUCUUAAUCUGCGUGUUUAAAGCUAAAACGACUUCUAUUAUGAAACGGAGGGAGUACAAUUUAAAAGUGAAAUCUGAGAUUUGCAUAAUAUAUCAACAUUUCCCAUUAAAUAGUAGUCACUAUAUAUAUAAGGAUCUUUUUUUUUGUCGACUAUAAGGACUUUAACUUGUAUUUUAAAAUUGUGCAUUGCAUAUUUAAAAAUACUUAUUUAAAAUAAUUAAGCCAAUACAUUAGCUCAUUUAAAAUUAACGGAGUUAUCAUUUAAUUUCAAAUAAAGCCAAUAUAUCUCACAAAUAAUUCUUAAUUUCUUGCUCAAAAAGUUAACUUUUCCAACAAGCUAAAAAUACCAUUUUUCUUAAUUUUAGUACUAAUAUUGAAGUCCUUUUUUGUAUAUAGAUAUUGAAGACCUUUUUACGUACAAAAGUAAUUAAGACUGGGAGUUUUAGUUUCAAAAACCUAGUUAUGAGUAUAUUGACUAUAUACAAACCAAAUAAAUGUUGGCGUAUUUACUUCCUGUCAUUAGUGCGACCAUAAGCAGAUAUACCAAACAAAAAAUAAUAUCGAAUUAUAUAUAUUUUUAGUUAUAUAUUUAAAGUAUAUACGUACAUGCUGUUAUAUCGUAGAUAUUAAAACGAAUUGAUAUGACCCGUUAUAUCCGUUCCUGCAUAGUAGGCCUAUAUUAUGGAACGGGAUUGGUCAACGAAAAGAAAAUUACAUUUUUCUGAAAUGUUGUAAGAAGAAUAAAAUUUCUGAAUCAAUCCUCUUUCGUCAAAAUCGCAGCCGUCGAGGGUCACAAAAAACCGAUUCUUAGAUCCGCCUCUCCGGUGGUCGGUGCUUCUCACCGGCACCGCGAGAGGGCUCUUAUUGUUGUUCCUUUGCUUUGUUCUUAGUCUUGUUGGUGUUUCCUUUGGUGAAACCUUGGCGAUUGGAGUGGCGGUUUUGUUGCGGCGUGGGUCUUUGGUGAUUGCAAAGGUGGAUUUUGCAAGGAUUGGCGGAUUCUCUAUGCUUUAAAGGUGUUGGCUCUGGUUAGUGUUGUCGGGUGAUGGUGGAUCUGGUAAGUGACGAGAGCUUGUGGUUGUUGGAAGUUUCUGUCCCCUUGGUUCUUUUGGGGCUGUGGUGGUGUUGGCCUUUGCCGGGUGGGCUGCUCCUCUCGUUGGUUUCUCGCAUGGUUGCACUUGGUGUAGUCUUUGUAUUUUGUGUUGAUGGCUUAAUCGUUGCCUCUGGUCUCUUGCUUGUGGCUUUAAGGUUGUAUAAUCGUUAGUUUAGGUAGCUUAAGGGGUUGUGUAGGUUAGUUUAGGCUCUGAUUCUACGGAUAAUCCGGGAUUUUGGUAUGGCUACCUCGUUCUCCUUCCUCUCUUGCUGCCCGAAGCUUUGGUCUGAGCUUGCUAGAGCUCUCUUGUUUUUGUGUCUUGCUGAGCUUGCUUUUGUCCUUUGAUGAGCUUUAUUGUGAUCUCUCCGGUUCGAUCGUAUGCUUUUCUCCUUUUGAGUUUAGUGUUUGCCGGUUAGAGGUUUGUUUCGCUCCUUGUCUCUACACUCAAGACCUGAUCGAGGUCUGGUCAGUUCAUGUCUUCUAACGAGGCGAUUAAAGGUCGUGGUUUGCGACAAAUGCCGCUUCCGAAAGAUUUGUGGGAUUUGGUCUCUUUGUCUCGCGUCUUUCUUGUCGGAAUAGAAGUCUAGGUUCAUUCGAUUUGAGAGGUACCUUGGCUACGCAAUAGGAGGUUUCGUUGACUGCAAGAUGGACACGUGUUGUCCUUUGUGGCUGGCUUGGUUCACAUUUGUGUGGGAGUAAGAUUGGCAAGUUCGUUUUCUUUCGAGCUUUUGUUUAAGUUUUUGACUGUUGUUUCGUUUUUGUGGAUUGUAUUCUCCACGUGUUCAACUGGUUCCCUCUUUUGGGCUUUCGCUUCCCUCUUUUGGGAUUUAAGUUUCCGGGGAUUUCUAGUGUUUCCGCCGGCUUAUGUAUUUCAACAAUGUAUCCUUCUUUGUGAUAUUAAUAAAAACAGACGACAAAAAAAAA